rnacentral:lncRNA from 1 species
GCUGAGAGGAGAUGUGAUAGCCACCUUCAAAUAUCUGAAGGGCUGUCACAUGGAAGAGGGAACAUGCUUGUUUUCUCCUGCUCUGGAGGGUAGGAUUCGAACCCAUGGCUUCAAGAAAGGCAAUUCAGACUAAACAUCAGGAAGAACUUCCUGACAGUAAGAGCUGUUUGACAGUGGACCAGUCUCCCUCUCAGUAGGUGGUGGGCUCUCCUUCUUGGAGGCUUUUUAAGCAGAGCUGGAUUGAGGUUUGAUGAGGCCCUAAGCUACUGAAGGUAAUGGGCCCCUUUAUAUGUCCAGCUGUCCUUUGUCAACAACAAACUUUUUUUUUGUUUUUUGUGUUGAAUAUAUGCUAGAAGGUAAUUUAUGGACCUAAUAGGUAUCUAAAGCCAUUUGCACAUGUUGCCGUGCAACCAGUCCAUGCAGAAUGUAGGCACCCUAUAUAUAGAAAGGAGCAAACCAGUGAUAUUUGAGGGAGCAGGCUAGCAGACGGGGCCCAUGACUUACAUCCUAGGAGCCUACACAACACAAAACGCUGUUGCUGUAUGUAGGUUUUACUUUAUUUGUUUUUUAUCUUAGAUUUUGGAAAUGUACACCCAGUUUCUUUUCCUUUAAAUUUUUUGAGGGUCCCCAAGAGAGUGGGGCCCUAAGCUAUAGCUUGUUUAGCUUAUACGUAAAUCCGGCACUGGUUUUAAGUGGAGGUCAUCUGUCAUGGAUGAUUGAGUUGCCAUGCAGGGCAUGGACAAGAUGGCUCUUCCCUUCCAACCCUUUUUUAAUUCUAUGUUCUCAGGUCUAUUGCCGCUCACUCUGCUGAGGUCUCUGUAUUGCUGGGGGUUGGACAACGCUACAUUUCUAUGAUUCUAUAAAAUGUCAAUAUGAGGAAAACCUGAAUUGCUGUUUGCUCUGAUUGAGCGCUAAAGAGCAGUUUCUCCUGGGGGAAAAGAGGGCAUGCGGAUAAGCGCCAAGUUGCACUUUAGCCGGGGACUGCCUCGGUUUCCCCAGUGGGGGAGAAUCGAUCCCUGGCCAUUUGGAAAGCACGCAGGUUAACCAAAGCAAUUUCAGGUGCUUGGCUGGCAGUGGCUGGAUAAACCGACUUGGACGCAGAUGAUGUUUUUCCUCGCCGCUUUCGAUUCAGCUGUCAGAAUGAAACGCUCAAAUCUUUGAAGGGCACUGCAUUGGCUCCCGGAAAAUAUGCCAGGUAGGAGGAAAUGCUUUGCAAAAGGAGGUGGAAUAAGGUGCAGUGAUUGCAGUUUUUUAAAAAAAUGAAAAUUGGAGAGCCAUGGUAUUUAAACACACGCAGAGAGAGAGAGACAGACACACACAUUGUGGCUGCUAUCUGCAAAGCCUUGGUGUGAUGCAACUUGACCUCUAUUAAGCAUCUAUUCAAAUUCCUCCAGGAUGCCAAAAGAAAGGUGAGCACUUUGCUUCUGAUGGAAGGCUGAGUAAUCUCCCUUCUCCCAGCUGGGCCUCUCUCCAGAAGUGCUCGCAAAAGCCAAGGGACAAAGCCAGAAAGAAAUAAUAGCCCAUCCUUCGCUCCUGCCUCCCCUCCGGUGAGUUUGUCGGAAACUUCCACUCUGUUGCAAACUCCCAGCACCUCAAAGGAAGGGCUAAGCAGAGCCUUAGUUAACCAGGCUGCUUCACUGCAGCAGCCAAAUCCCCUUUCAGGUUACCCAGAGAGACGGUAUUUGUGCUCCUUGAUCUGGAAGAGGCCGGCCUUGAUUGUCCAUUCUCGGCUGACUUCCCACCUGCACUACUGCAAUGUACUCCCCAUGGGGCUGCCCUUGGAGGCAGUCUAGAGCUGUGGAUCCCAAAACAGGCAGUGGGGUUACCUGCGGAGAUGCUAUGGGGCUAGAAAGCAGCAGGAGGACACUGGACACCCCCCCCUCCCCGUUGAUCACAUAUACAAUUAAAGCUCUGGUUUUGCCAGUAGUGAUGUAUGGAAGUGGGAGCUGAACCAUCAAGAAGGCUGAUCGCCGAAGAAUGGAUGCUUUCGAAUUCUGGUGCUGGAGGAGAUUCUGGAGAGUCCCAUGGACUGCAAGAAGAUCAAACCUCUCCAUUCUGAAGGAAAUCAGCCCUGAGUGCUCACUGGAAGGACAGAUCAUGAAGCUCAGGCUCCAAGACUUUGGCCACCUCAUGAGAAGAGAAGACUCCCUGGAAAAGACCCUGGUGUUGGGAAAGAUGGAGGGCACAAGGAGAAGGGGAUGACAGAGGAUGAGAUGGUUGGACAGUGUUCUUGAAGCUACCAGCAUGAGUUUGACCAAACUGCGGGAGGCAGUGGAAGACAGGAGGGCCUGGCAUGCUCUGGUCCAGGGGGUCACGAAGAGUCGGACACGACUAAACGACUAAACAACAACAACAACUGACCAGGCUACUUCCUAGAACAAAACAUCUCCCUUGCUUCGUAUUUAACGUUUUCCUGCUCUUAUCACUUUCAAAGCUUUUGCCUUUGCUCAUAUUUUCUUUGUAUUUGCAACUCUGAAUUGUCACAAGAAGGCCAAUUAUUGUUCUUCUUAUUAAACCGUACAUCUGCGGCAGGGGACAGUUUGUACAUAUUUGGUAAGCAGUUAUGUACGUAUAAACAUUUUAUGCUAUAAAUUUCCCUCACCCUUAUGUUUGCGUUAGUAGCAAUGCGUAUAAAUACUUUUCACACGAUAUUCUUAGCUGCGCGUCCUUUUUUUAGCUACAGGGUUAGACCAUAGCACGUAUUUUUGUUUGCAUGUAUUUAUUUUUGAAUAAACAUGCAGUUAAUUGUUACCGCUUUGAAUUUAACAGUGUUGUUAUCUUCAUUAGCGGGUCAUUCAAACUGCUGUUUUGCAUAAUGCUUUCCAUAGAAUCCUAGAAUCAUAGAGUUGGAAGAGACCACAAGGGCCAUCGAGUCCAACCCCCUGCCAAGCAGGAAACACCAUCAGAGCACUCCUGACAUAUGGUUGUCAAGCCUCUGCUUAAAGACCUCCAAAGAAGGAGACUCCACCACACUCCUUGGCAGCAAAUUCCACUGUCGAACAGCUCUUACUGUCAGGAAGUUCUUCCUAAUGUUUAGGUGGAAUCUUCUUUCUUGUAGUUUGGAUCCAUUGCUCCGUGUCCGCUUCUCUGGAGCAGCAGAAAACAACCUUUCUCCCUCCUCUAUGUGACAUCCUUUUAUAUAUUUGAACAUGGCUAUCAUAUCACCCCUUACCCUCCUCUUCUCCAGGCUAAACAUGCCCAGCUCCCUUAGCCGUUCCUCAUAAGGCAUCGUUUCCAGGCCUUUGACCAUUUUGGUUGCCCUCCUCUGGACACGUUCCAGUUUGUCAGUGUCCUUCUUGAACUGUGGUGCCCAGAACUGGACACAGUACUCCAGGUGAGGUCUGACCAGAGCAGAAUACAGUGGCACUAUUACUUCCCUUGAUCUAGAUGCUAUACUCCUAUUGAUGCAGCCCAGAAUUGCAUUGGCUUUUUAGCUGCCGCGUCACACUGUUGGCUCAUGUCAACUUUGUGCUCAACCAAGACUCCUAGAACCUUUUCACACGUACUGCUCUCAAGCCAGGUGUCACCCAUCUUGUAUUUGUGCCUCUCAUUUUUUUGCCCAAGUGCAAUACUUUACAUUUCUCCCUGUUAAAAUUCAUCUUGUUUGUUUUGGCCCAGUUCUCUAAUCUGUCAAGGUCGUUUUGAAGUGUGAUCCUGUCCUCUGGGGUGUUAGCCAUCCCUCCCAGUUUGGUGUCAUCUGCAAAUUUGAUCAGGAUGCCCUUGAGUCCAUCAUCCAAGUCAUUGAUAAAGAUGUUGAAUAAGACCGGGCCCAAGACAGAACCCUGUGGCACCCCACUAGUCACUCUUCUAUAGGGUACAGCGCAUUAGGGAUGAGUUUAUGGAAACAAAGCGAGGGGUUGCCCCCCCCCAAAAAAAGUUUGGGGAAUGCUGAUCUUGAAGCUGCUGCUAGUGCAGAAUGUGACCGCUAGCUUGGAAGUGGGCUGCCCAAUUGAAUCAUGUGUCACUGGUCCUGAAAUCUCUAUACUGACCACCGGUCAGCUAAUGAGCCCAAUUCAAAGUGUUAGUACUAGCAAACUAGGAGCUACGUGGCAUGGAACCCAAGUACCGGAAAGGGUGUCUCCCCCAGUAUCAACCAUCUUGGGCCUUAGGAGAGGGCCUAUCACUGAUGUCUGCUGCCCAGUUGUCUGUUGCCAUUCUGGGUCCUUGGGUCCUGGUGCUGUAGCCUGGAUGUGCGGUGCGAUGCUGCGUUGUCUGUGGCGGCUGUGUGCAGUGCGCGGCAGACAGCUCAGCAGGAUCCCACCUUUGUCGCCAGUGAAAUAUACUCAGAGUCCUGUAGUGAUUUCAUGCUCUUUAUUGCAGCUUGUAAAACAGUGAUUGAAUUGCCCCCCCCACAACCCUCAGGCUUUUAUAUACUUUAUUUACACAAUGAGUCCCGUCUGAUUGGCUGAUUCUGUUUCCCUCCUGUAGCCUGAUUGGUCUUUUCCUGCAGGCCAAUCAGUUUUUGCAUUCUACGAUCCUACCAGCCUAAUAGGCUGAUUAACUUCCUCCUGGAGCCUGACUGGUCUUUUCCCGCAAGCCAAUCAGUUGUUGCAUUCUAGGAUCCUACUUGCCUAUUGUUAUAGGAUCCAAUCUUAGUACAUAACACAGGGCCUUCUAAGUGGUGGCUCCCCAUUUGAGGAACAGGAGUGCCGCAUCUGCUCCUUUCGUCAUUAGCACUCAGGAGAAACGUCAUAGAAUUAUAGAAUCAUACCGCUGUAAACAUGGAAGGGAGCUCAAGAGUCAUCUAGCCCAAAGCCCUUCAGUGCAGCUAAAGAAUCUCCAACAGAAGGUCAUCCACUUUAAAGCCUCCAAGGUGACCACCCAGCCUCUGUUCAAAACUUCCAUCGAAGGAGAUCCCACUGCCUUCUGAUGGAGUCCACUGUCGAAAGGCUCUCCCUCUGCUGAAACACUGAGGUGAGUGAUCUCUCUGCUCUUUCCCCAGCAAUGAACGUCCUUUCUUCUAAGGGCCCAAGGUGGCAAUUCUCUGUUUGCAGAGCCAAAGGAACAGAGGACAUAGUUUAUAUUUCAACGCAUGGUUGCAAAAAAAGCGGCUACAUCUUGUGCUGCUGUAAAACUUUCUCUCCAGUGAAAGUUCUUGGGGCCUUCUGCUGACAUCAGCCCCUGCUGUGCCCCCAGCCGGAAAUAGGAUUCAUUUUCACUUCCUCCACCUGCCUCCUGACAUUUGACAGAUGGAAAUAGGUGCCUUUGUUUUCCAUUAUCGGAGCUCAACUCAUCAUCUUGUGUGGAGCGGAGACGACACUCCAGCAGGGGCUGAAGGAAUGAAUUCUAGUCACCUUCGCUCCGAAACAUGCUUGUUCUUGCCAUGCUCAAAGGUGUGUGGCAUGUCUGGAGAUAGGCUAUUGUUCUGAACUGGAUAGCAGUACAUGUGAACAGGACCGAGGGGUCUUAGAAGACCGCAAGCUUCACACGAGCAACAUAUUGCAGCAGCAAAACAAAAAAGUCAAAUGCUAUUCUAGGCUGCAUCAAGUGAGGUAAUAAUGUCCAGAUCAAGGGAAGUCAUGUUGUUGUUAUUUAGUCAUGUCCGACUCUUUGUGACCCCAUGGACCAGAGCAUGCCAGGCACUCCUGUCUUCCACUGCCUCCCGCAGUUUGGUCAAACUCAUGCUGGUAGCUUCGAGAACACUGUCCAACCAUCUCGUCCUCUGUCGUCCCCUUCUCCUUGCGCCCUCCAUCUUUCCCAACAUCAGGCUCUUUUCCAGGGACUCUUCUCUUCUCAUGAGGUGGCCAAAGUACUGGAGCCUCAGCUUCACGAUCUGUCCUUCCAGUGAGCACUCAGGGCUGAUUUCCUUCAGAAUGGAUUGGUUUGAUCUUCUUGCAGUCCAUGGGACUCUCAAGAGUCUCCUCCAGCACCAUAAUUCAAAAGCAUCAAUUCUUCAGCGAUCAGCCUUUAUUCUGUCACACCUGGAGUCCUGUGUCCAGUUCUGGGCACCACAAUUUAAGAAAGAUGUUUGAGAAGCUGGAAUGUGUGCAGAGAAGGGCAACCAAGAUGAUCAAGGGUCUGAAAACAAGCUUUACAGAAUCAUAGAAUUGUAGAUUGGAAGGGACCCCAAGGGAAAUCUAGUCCAACACCCUGCAACAGAGGAAUCUCAGAUAGAUUAUACAUGACCCAUUAGCAUCUCACCUCUGAUUAAACAAGGAGAGUCCACAACCUCCCAAGGGAGACUGUUCCACUAAAGUUCUUCAUGACAUUUAGUUGGAUUCUCCUUUCUUGUAACUUAUGAGGAACAAUAGAUGGAGUGGGGUAUGCUUAGCCUGGAGAAGAGGAGACUGAGAGGAGAUAUGAUAGCCACUUUCAAACAUCCAAAGGGCUGUCAUAUGUAAGAUGGAGCAAACUUGUUUUCUCCUGCUCCAGUGGGUACCAAUGGAUUCAAGUGACAAGAAAGAAGAUUCCAAACAGACAUAAGAAAGAAUCUGUUAAGAUUCCUGCUCUGUGUUUGCAGUCAUGAGAUUGUUGUCUAUCACAUGACGGUGCAUGUUUUCAUUCCACAGUGUGGGAAGAGACGGAGACAGGAUGUUUGUGUUACUGCAUUCCAUGAAGUGGGACUAUUGUCCUUUGUUCUUUCUCUCUUUGCUGUCUGAUAAGAAAGAGGCAGGAGCUAAGUCAGAAUGCUCCAAGUGUAUUAUAUGUAAAUAAAGUAGAUUAGCCAAAAUGCUGUGCUAUUGGUUCUGUACUCUGCGGAUCCCUAAGUGUGCUGAUGUCUCUUGGAAUCAGUCGCUGUGAUGUUUGGGCUGAAGAAAGCUUUUGAAGCUCCUGAACGAUCGACCAGGAGGGAGAGAACAUGCCAGUCAGGCAUGUGUCCCUGCCAGGGUCCUACACGAGAGUAGGACGCUCCUAACAGAAUCUUCCAACAUUCAGCUUCAUUGUACGUCCGCAACUUCCAGUUUUAGGACAAAGGGAGAAAAACUUCAAAAUACCAGUUGCUGGAAUCCAUGGGCAGAGAGGGUGCUCUAGUGCUCGAAUCCUGCUUAUCAGUUUCCUAUGGACAUCUGCUUAUCCACCCUGAGAAGAGGAUGCUGGACUAGAUGGGUCAUUGGCUGUUCUCAUGUUCCCUAUCCAUUUUCUCCUUGCCGUGCAAUAGUUUUAUGGACUUUGGUCGUUUUCGUAAAGUGUCAGCUUUGACUAAAGCUUGCAAAUGCUGUCCUUGCAGGAAUGCUUCAGUAAGCCCUCCUCCCCCAGCUCUCUCUUGCAUGCCCACCCAACCAUCUUCCAGCCCCAUCAUCCAUUGUGGUCAGGGGAGGGCUGCUCCUUUUCUAAAGAAGGGGAUAAUAAGCUGGGCUGCGUGGAUUUACCAGCUCAGAGAUGGAAUCCCUCAGAGAUCAAACACUGCCAGGCCAAACCCCGCAGCCACGGACGCUCACGUCAAAACUUGGAAGGAGCUCUUUGCUGCCUUCAGGUAAUCCAGGUCGGUGUGUGCAGCUCUGAACUGCCUUGCACUAAAGCUCUUGUCACUUUGCCGGCAAAGAUAAGGCAGGGCCUAAUCUCUCCAUACAAUUGAACAAGCAAGUACUAAAUUGGCAUGUAGAGUCUACUGCGUGUGUGUCUUAAAAAUGGACUGAAAGAGAUUUCCAAGGAGCUUUUGCCGGUGGCUAAUUUGCUGUUUUCAAAUGUUCAUUGCUGUCUUUUUUACUUAAAACAUUUAAUUAUUUGCUGUCUAUUUACUUAAUAUUUCAUAUCCCGUCUUUCUCCUGAGAUGGAGAUUCAAGGAGGCGUCCAGCAUUUUAAUGAAGCAGUGAAAGACAAUAGCUAAAACCCACUGGAACAUGUUUAGAACUGGCGACUAAAAUACAGUUCGCACCGGCAGCAGCCAGGCGGUCAGUCUUAGUCUCCAAAGGCCUGUCUGAACGAGGACUUAACCUGUAGGUGGGAGGAUAACAAGCCUGUCUUGGGAGGGAAUUCCGCAAUCGGGAAGCAGCCACGAAAGAGGCUCACUCCCUUGUGCCAUCACCAACUGUACUUUGGAUGAUGGUGGUCACUGAGAAUGAGACCCAAAGCUGCCUGGGUUCCAUAGUAUUGCUGGGUCAUGUGCCCUCAUUCCCAUGCCCUGAGCUGCCCUUAAUUGGUGGGAAGGAAGUAGGAGGGCUUUGGAAGGGUGUGGUGGCCUAUGGCCACACUUAUGAGAUUUUGGGAUUUGCUGCUGCCCCAUGUGGUAAGCCACGGAACUGCAUGCUUCAGCCCUUGCAGCAAAGUGAUGUGUUGGGUGGAUGGUUGCGCCUCUAGAGUCUUCCGUACUGGACUCCGCAGCACAAGGCAGGGGCAGUCCUGGAUUCACAGACUUCUCGAGGUGGAAGGGACUAAAUCACAGCCCAGUGUUUAGGCUGGGCUUCUGAAGCAGGCCCUGGUUAGAUUUCCACUCUGUAACUGUGGUAAAGCAGCUUUCUUUACAGAGCUCUGGGCAAGGCAAAGCCUUUCUCAAUCUCCCGAUACAUCUGUAUCUGCCUGCUGUUCUCUUUAUCCCGCAUGCUGAGCAGCAGCAGUUCAAAGAAACUUAACAGAGAUGUCCGAGGCGCUGCUACAAAAUUUAGUGUGCUUUUUAUAGACUGCUGUUUGGAUGGCUUUCAGAGAGGAUUAGGCAAAUUCCUGGCAAUCAAGGCUAUCAGUGCUACUAGCCAUGGCAAAGGCUAUGCUCUGCUUGCAAAGUUGGAGGCUGUGAUGCUUCUGAGUAGCCGUGGCUGGAAGCCACAGGAGGGGGAAGGGCUCUUGUCUCCAAGUCUUGCUUGUGGGGUUCCUGCAAUGGGCACCUGGUUGGCCAACGUGAGGACUAGGUUGGCCAGUGGCCUGAUCUUGCAGAAUUCUUUUCGCGUUCCUAAUACUUGUCUGGAGAGAUGCUUUGCAAAUGGCUGCGUUUCAGUUCAUGAAUUGUUUGGGGAAAUGUAUGACAGUAGAACCUCGGGUUAUGUACCGUCCUCCUUACGCACACUACGGGUAAUGAGCUCUGCUAACCCGGAAGUAGACGCUCCUGGUUGUGAACUUUGCCCCAGGAUGCGAGCGGAAGUCGCGUGCCAGCAGCAUGGCAGCAGUGGGAGGCCCCAUUAGCGAAAGCGCGCCUCAUGUUAAGAACGGUUUCAGGUUAAGAACGGAUCUCCGGAUCAAAUUGAGUUCUUACCCGGAGGUACCACUGUAUUAGUUUUGCCUUUCAUUAUGAGAUGAAUCUGAUUUCUAACCGACUAGGUAUCAGAAAGAACUUUCUGACAGUAAGUUUGACAGUGGAACAGACUCCCUUGCGAGGCAGCGGACUCUCCUCCCUUGGAAGUUUUCAAGCAGAGGUUGGACGGCCAUCUGCCAGGGAUGCUGUAGCUGAGUGGGCUAGAGGACUCUACAGUUCUGUGAUUCUAUACCCUCUCAAUACCAGCCACUCACAGAGAUGCUCAUUUGGGCCCUGAGUGAACAUUUCAGGUGAUAAAACUGGCUGCCCCCAGAUCUGCAAGAAAACCAUGUCAGCCUGCAGGGCAGAGCGAGUAAACACGUCUGCUUGACUGACCCCUUUGGAUAACCAUUUCUUGAAUCAUCCUUCCUGUGAUUCUCAUAUUCUGGGGGUUGGACUAGAUGACCCUUCGUGUCCCUACAAUUCCGUUAUUCCUUCCUUCCUUUUCAGCAAAGCAGCAGGUGAUGCCACGCGCCGGAGCAUCUCCUCCUGACUGACAGCUCCUCGUUUCACUAAGAACAGGGUGGGCGUCGAGUUCAAAUCCCUUUGCAGAAUGGCAGCUCGCCUUAAUUACAGGCUUUGCAUUGCCCCCUGCUCUCUUUCCCUCCUUCAGGUCUUUCAGGUGAUAAAGCUGGCUGCCCCCAGAUCUGCAAGGAAACCAUGUCAAAGCUGCUUGGUCGGCCCCUGUGAGAAGAGGACACUUGAAUAGAUAGGCUGCCUUUAGUCUGACCCAGCAGUCUCUUACCUUCUUCUGCUCUUAUGAAUACACCCUUUACCAGAGAGGGCUGGGAAAGAGACUAGCAUCCUUUUAGAGGGUUUGUCUUACCAGCUUGGGGAAGGAAGCUUCUUGCAGAAGAUGCUGCAGGCUGAAUCUGAGACUUCCGGCAUUCAAAGUAUGCAUGCUGCAACCACUGAGUCACGCUGCCCAGCAGCUCCACCAAAUUCCACCCAGCCUUAUGCAAAAGUUCAGCUGUGAUUCACUUUGCUACCCAUCCCAUGGUGCCGGCACGCUUGUGGCUCCUUGCUCUUCAAUUAUCUGCCAGCAUAGCUGGAAACUUGCAGUACGUCAGAAACAAUUGGAAUUUGCCCAUUCCAUGCUGGGCAAAGCACAGUGGGAUGCCGGGGCCCCGAGUGCGCGCAAAUUCAUUCUUGGUGUUGCAUGAGCCAUCUGCCUCUGGAACUCAAAAUGAAGUACGUGACACAAGGCAGCGGAGCUGAGUGUGUUUGGGGCCCACCUUCCACUUCGGAAGGGGUAUACAGGGAACACUUUUACUGCAAGAGCAAGCAUGCCGCUGCUCAAAUCCCAUAAGAUGAAUGAAUUGUAGAGUUGGAAGGAUCCCAACCCCCUCCAGCGCAGGAACCCGUGAUCCAACUCUGUUUAAAAACCUCCGAGGGAAUCCACCACGGCUCUUGCCAUCAGAAAGUUCUUCCUUGUCAUCUGAAUUCUUUCGUUUGAAAAGGAAAUCAUAGAAUCAUAGAGUUGGAAGAGACCACAAGGGCCAUCGAGUCCAACCCCCUGCCAAGCAGGAAACACCAUCAGAGCACUCCUGACAUAUGGUUGUCAAGCCUCUGCUUAAAGACCUCCAAAGAAGGAGACUCCACCACACUCCUUGGCAGCAAAUUCCACUGUCAAACAGCUCUUACUGUCAGGAAGUUCUUCCUAAUGUUUAGGUGGAAUCUUCUUUCUUGUAGUUUGGAUCCAUUGCUCCGUGUCCGCUUUUAUAUAUUUGAACAUGGCUAUCAUCUCACCCCUUAACCUCCUCUUCUCCAGGCUAAACAUGCCCAGCUCCCUUAGCCGUUCCUCAUAAGGCAUCGUUUCCAGGCCUUUGACCAUUUUGGUUGCCCUCCUCUGGACACGUUCCAGUUUGUCAGUGUCCUUCUUGAACUGUGGUGCCCAGAACUGGACACAGUACUCCAGGUGAGGUCUGACCGGAGCAGAAUACAGUGGCACUAUUACUUCCCUUGAUCCCUUGAAACAAGAUUUUCAAGCAGAGUUUGGAGCACCAUGUGUCUGAGGUUCUUUAGCUGGGAUUCUUGCAUUGCAUAGGGUUGGACUAGAUGACCGCUUGCCCUCCAAUGCUACAAUUCUAUGAUCCUACCCUCCACUGCAGGAGAGUCCACCACUUUCCAAGGUAUCCUCUUUCCUACAUUGAAAGACCUACAUUGGGUCCCGGGACGUUUCCAAGCACAAUUCAAAGUGUUGGUGCUGACCUUGAAAGCCCUAAAUGGCCUCAGCCCAGUACACCUGAAGGAGCGUCUCCACCCCCAUCGUUCUGCCCAGACACUGAGGUCCGUCUCCGAGGGCCUUCUGGUGGUUCCCCCCCUGCGAGAAGUGAGUUUACAGGGAACCAGGCAGAGGACCUUCUCGGUGGUGGCGCCCGCCCUGCAGAACGCCCUCCCAUCAGAUGUCAAGGAAUUAUACAGCUAUCUGACUUUUAGAAGACAUCUGAAGGCAGCCCUGUUUAGUUAAGUUUUUCAUGUUUGAUCUUUUAUCGCUUUUAUUAUUAUUAAUAAUAAUACAGUGGACCCUCCAGAUACGAACUUAAUUCAUUCUGGGGGUCCUUGCACAACCAGAUAAGUCCGCAAUGAGGUGCUGCUUCUGCGUGUAGCGAAACCCGGAAAUAUACACUUCCGGGUUUGCAGCAUUCACAACCCAAAAGUUACGUUAGCCGAAGGUAACGUAACCUGAGAUACUACUCUAGUCUGUUGGGAGCAUCCCAGAGUGGCUGGGGAAACCCAGCCAGAUGGUCAGGGUAUAAUAGUAGUAGUUAUUAUUAUUAUUAUUAUUAUUAUUUCCUCUGUCAAAUGGCAGAGAGAUCUACAUUCAUUUCCCCACUCCACCAACACAACCAGCAAAGCAAAGUUUUAAAAAACACAGAUGCACAAUGCCACAAUUUCCAUAUUCCAUUCACUUUGCAGAAUUCUGUAGGUCUCCCAUCUUUUCUCUAAGGGGCAUUCGAUUGAGAGAGAGAGAGAGAGAGAGAGAGAGAGAGAGGUGUAACAGGGCGUAAAACCAAGAUGCCUUUUUUUCCUUUUUCGGCAGGAAAAGCCCUUAUUUCUAUCACAACCAAACCCUCCAAGUGGGGGGGCUGAACAUCCUGGAGUCCGUCCGUCCCCCCCCCCGGCCACGGACCUGCUUCUCGCAAGGCCACCUCACAGCACCGCUCUUGGCCUCUGUCCCGGCAGGAAAGAACCUUCCUUCUGGCAUCCUGAGCUUGAUGGGAAUGGGAAAGGGAAACGAUCCAUUAACUCAGCCCCUGUGGCUGUCCUGGGACUGCGGAGCUGAAGAAGAGGCUUACGCAGACCCUCCGAGCGCCCCUGUUUUCCAGGGGCGUCCCUGAUUUAGAGAAGCCGUCCCAGUUUCUGAUUUGAUCCUGGAAUAUCCCACUUUUCCUUAGGACGUCCCUAUUUGCAUUGGAGAAGUGUUGGAGGGUAUGGAGUGAUCUGACCCCCGAGGCAUCUGAAGGCAAUCCUGUAUAGGGAAGGAGUUUUUUAAUGUUUAAUGUUUUAUUAUGUUUUUUAUAUAUGUUGGAAGCUGCCCAGAGUGGCUGGGGCAACCCAGUAAGAUGUGUGGGGCCUAAAUGGUAAAAAAAUAUAACUAUGGAAGGAGACAUCCCUAUUUUCAUGGGAGAAAUGUUGGCGGGUAUGCACAUGUGAGGGGGAAGGACAGUAGCUGAGACGGAGAGAGGAGGAGGGAUGGGAGGAAGACCCCAAACCAUGUCCCAUGAUUUACUUUACUUAUCUUUCUUUUCAUAAAAUGUAUACACCCUUGAUUGCAAAAAAAGGCCUCUCAAAGCUGUUUGCGAAAAGAUAAAACCAAGAAAACAUACGAAAAGUUAAGGCAGAUUAAAGUUCAGAUCCCAGUGGAUUGCUUGGUUAGUUACAGUCUGGUGCGGAUAAUGCCAAGGGUCAGUGGCGUAGCGUGGGGGUGCAGGGGGGGCCGGCCGCACCGGGCGCAACAUCUGGGGGGGGGCGCACUCGCACUCGCAGCUCUCUGCCCCUACCUGGCUCACUCACUCUCUCUCACUGCAGUGCUGGCUGUGCGAAUCCGAUCCGAGCCGCUGGGUCGCCGCCCACUGUGGAGGGGUGGGGGCCACGCGUGCGGGGCGGAGAGAGCGAGGGCCUCUCUGGGGGAGGGACAGGGCAGCGGCCGCCCAGCGCAGCGCUGAGCGCGGGAGAGAACCACACCAGACCAGACCAGGCAGCAGCAAGAAGAAGCUGGCAGCGGCGGCAGGUUAGGGGUUAGGGGGCGCAAAUUACUUGCCUUGCCCCGGGUUAGGGGGCGCAAAUUACUUGCCUUGCCCCGGGUGCUGACAACCCACGCUACGCCGCUGCCAAGGGUGCAAGUUCUGUUUCCGUAUGGGACAGCUGCAUAUUCCUGCAUUGCAGCCUGUGAUCAAACUAAUGCCUGUGAAUUAAUGGCGAACUAAUGCCAGCAAAGAAGAAGCAAAGAUCACCAGUGUCAAAGCGAUGAUUCUUCAACAUCAACUUCAUUGGACUGGUCAUGUUGUGCAGAUCCCUGAUUGUCGUCUGCCAAAGCAACUACAGUGGUACCUCAGGUUAAGUACUUAAUUCGUUCCGAAGGUCUGUACUUAACCUGAAACUGUUCUUAACCUGAAGCACCACUUUAGCUAAUGGGGCCUCCUGCUGCCGCUGCGCUACCGGAGCACGAUUUCUGUUCUCAUCCUGAAGCAAAGUUCUUAACCCAAGGUACUAUUUCUGGGUUAGCGGAGUGUGUAACCUGAAGCGUAUGUAACCUGAAGUGUAUGUAACCCGAGGUACCACUGUACAGUGGAUGCUUGGGUGGCAAACAUGAUCCAUGUGGGAGACACAUUCGCAACCUGAAGCGUUCGCAACCCACAGCACCACGUCUGCGCAUGCACGGGUUGUGAUUCGGUGCUUCUGCGCAUGCGCAUGCACGACCACCAAAACCUGGAAGUAACCUGUUCCAGUACUUCUGGGUUUCGGCACAUCCGUAACCCAAAAAAAUGCAACCUGAAGUGUCUGUAACCCAAGGUAUGACUGUACUCUAUCCCAAACUUAAAAAUGGACAGCAUAAUGCUGGCGGUCAACAAAAGAGGUUAAAAGACUCUCUCAUGGCAAAUCUAAUAGAAUGUAAUAUAAACACUGACAUAUGGGAAACACUGGCCUGCGAGCGCUCCAGUUGGAGAACAGCCUUUCCCAAAGGUGUCGUGGGCUUUGAAGACACUCAAACUCAGGACACAAGGGAGAAGCGUGCUAAGAGGAAGGCACGCUUGGCAAAUCCACACCGUGAUCAACUCCCGCCCGGAAACCUAUGUCCGCACUGUGGAAGGACUUGUGGAUCCAGAAUUGGCCUCCAGAGUCACUUACAGACUCACUGCUAAAAUGUGUUUAUGGAAGACAAUCUUACUUGACUACAAGUGAUCACCAAAGAAGAAGGACAAGGAUUAAAUGUAAGGUAUUGGUUGUGUUUAGAAUAGAUUUAUGAAAGAUUUAGAAAACUUAUUGAUAAGACAAAUAAUAAAUGUUGGAAAUGUAAAGAAAAAGAAGGAACAUUUUAUCAUAUGUGGUGGGAAUGUAAGAAAGUAAAAAACUUCUGGGAAAUGAUAUAUAAUGAGAUGAAAAAGAUGUUGGAAUAUACAUUUUUUAAAAACCCAUAAGCAUUUUUACUUGGUAUUAUAGGUGAGGAUAUUAAUAGACAAGAUGUUAAAUUGUUUUUAUUUGCAACAACAGCGGCAAAAGUAUUGUUAGCCCAGAAAUGGAAGCAAGAAGAAAUUCCGACGAAAGAAGAAUGACAGACAAAAUUAAUGGACUACGCAGAAUUAAAUAAAAUGAAAGGAAGGAUUCGAAACCUGCGGGACCAGAGAUUCACAGAAGAUUGGAAGAAAUAUACGAACUAUUUGAAGAGCAACUGCAAUCAACAAAUUACACUAGUAGGACUACAAGAAGUUUUGUAAGGAGAAAUAUAUGAAACAUUGCAAAUUAGAGAAAGAAUAGAGAUAUUAGUUAUGAGAUUUAAAUGUAAUAGUGAAAGUAAGAAAUGUAUAUUAAGUGAAUAGACUGAAAAAUUUUCAGAUGUGAUUGGUGGAAGUCAAAAAAACCUGUAUAAGAUGUAAAAGUAUGUUUAAUUAUUGUUGAAAAUGAUAUGUUAAAAAAACUAAUAAGAAAUUAUAUAUAUAUAAAAAGAAAGAAAGCGAAUCCGUUCCAGGCCCUGCGAUGAUCAAUUUCCCAACGUAGCUUAGUUUGCAAAUUAGAUUCCUGGAAUCGAAUCAGGCAGCCACAGCCUGCAGCUGGAGGUACCACUCCUAAUUGCGUAACCUUUGAUAAUAGGAUAACGAGAACCAGCGCCAAGAAAACUCUUUCUGCCUGGGGUCCAUCUGCCUCGCAAUGCCAUUUCUCUAGACUUUAAACGCUGCUCCGUCUGCCAGGAGAGGGGCUUAACAAUACAGCCCGCAUUAUUUGGGUCAGCUCUCUUAUACUGUGACAUAUACUCGGAGUCGAGUGUGGAUUUCAUGCUCUUUAUUCAGCUCAUAGUAGUGAGGAAUGAAAGUUCCCCCAAAAUAUCUGCUUUAUAUACAUUAUUUACACAAUGGGCCGCACUUGAUUGGCUAAUUCCUGGAUUCUCCUGUAGGCCAAUCAGGUUGCGGAUUCACUUCCACCUGGAGCUGGAUUGGGUGGCUCCUGCGGACCAAUCAUACUGCUGCAUUGUUCUAGGACCAAUCAGACUGCUGCAUUCUGAAUCCUAUUGUUCUAGGACCAAUCAGACUGCUGCAUUCUGGAUCCUAUUGUUCUAGGGCCAAUCAGACUGCUGCAUUUGGAUCCUAUUCAACUCAGUACAUAACAUACUGCCUAGUGAACCUCAGGAUCUGCUCUACAUACAGUCCCCCCUCCCACCUCCCAGCCACUAGUGGAGCUGCUGUGAUGUCACAGAAUGCACAUGAGCAUUCCAGUGCUGCCAGGCGGUGGGGAGUGGAAAGGAUGAGCUGUGGAAUGUUGACAGGAUGUUGGGAGACCUGGGUUCGAAUCCCCACUCAGCCAUGAGGUUCACUGGGUGAGGCAGCCGCUCGCUCUCAGCCUAGCCUACCACACAGGGUUGUUGUGGGGGUAAAUGUGGAGGAAAAGUGCUGCGUAUGCCACCUUGAGCUCCCUGGAGGAAAUGUGGGGUAUUAAUAUUAUUAAUAAGUCACCUAACAUCGCUCAACACCCUUGAAAAACUACAGUUCCCAGGAUUCUGUGAGGGAAGCCAUGACUAUGUAAAGCUUUCAAUAUAUGGAGGGGUCAGUGCUCCAAAUGUCAGUUUCCCACACCUUCUCUACAAAUCUCAGCCUUCUUGGCUGGUUCAGCAAUUUUCAUUAAACUCAAGGCACACCUGCCACCUUUCCAAACAGCUGGAGCUUACCUGCAGUUUACCUAAGAACCUGAGACCCUCCAAGUUUCCCUAUUUUUCAGGGACAGUUCCAGAUUUACAAAAGCCAUCCCAGUUUCUGAUUUGAUCCCAGAAGGCCCUGCUUUAUCUUAGGACAAGAGUCUUGAUACCACAAGGAUGGAAGAAUAAGGAAACCCCGACAAAAAAACAGUGGCAAGAGAAAUUAAUGAACAAUGCAGAACUGGUGGAACUGACAAGUAAAUUGCGAGACAAAGACAACUGUGACUUUAAAGAAGAAUGGGAACCUUUUACAGUCUAUUUAAAAACACAGCAAAAUGAAUUGGACUCCUUGGCGGGUUUUGAAUAAACAUACACAAAUUUAUUGGGUCAAUAUGGUGGAUAGAUAAUAUAAGGAUGUAUACAAUUUUAUAAUAUGCAGAGAACAAUAUGAGAUGAGAAAUCAGAGAGAGGGGCUGAGGGAAGUCCUGGGGGAGGAGGGAGGGAGGGUUUGUUGGGGAGGGGGAGGGGGGAAAUGGGAGGGGGAAAAUAACGAAGAUGAUUUGUAUUGUUGAUUUGUUAUGCUGAAUCUGUUAAUAAAAAAAACUUUUUAAAAAGGACAUCCCUAUUUCCAUUGGAGAAAUGUUGGAGGGUAUGGAAUAAUGUGACCCACCCCCCAGCCAAGGAAACUAGACAACUAGACAACCUUUAGGAGGCAGCCCUGUAUAGGGAAGUUUAUUUUUUCAAUGUUUAAUGUUUCAUUGUGUUUUUAUAUAUGUUGGAAGCCGCCCAGAGUGGCAACCCAGUCAGAUGGGCAGAAUAUAAAUAACAAAAUUGUUGUUGUUAUUGUUGUUGUUGUGGAAUAGGGUGUCCCUAUUUCCAUCGGAGAAACCUUGGAGGGUAUGUCACCGUGCCCAGAUUGUGGGAGGCUGCGUCAGAAGAAGGCAUCCGUCAGAUCUCCUGCUGCACAUUGUGUCCUCCCCCGAGGGCAGGCAAAAGCGAACACGUGCGCCUACGUUAUCUGGACGUGCCCAUUUGGCACCUCGGGGGCCACCUCCUCCCACCCUCCCCUUGCAGCCUUGCCCCAGCUGGACAUCGCCCGCGUCAAGCGCCCAGCUGAACAAAAAGCCUCGAGGGCAGCGAUUAAGAAAAGGGAAACAGAGAGAGCCCGUGUCAAGGCCGCAUCCUGUUGAUCCUCAGCUGUCGGAGAGGACAAAUGGUGCGGCGGACGCCUGGCGUCCCUCUUCAAGGAUUUCCCGUCACGCAGAACAUUGCGCUCUCCCUGGAAGUGAACACUGUAUUAUUAUUUGCCGCUCACAAGACGGGGAUAAGGCGGAGGCGUUGGGGUGGCUCUCCGAGAAGGGGCAGGAAGUCGUUGAUUUAAGAGGUAAACAAAGGAUGGAGAAGAGACAAGUGUUUCUGGGUGCGAGAGGCGUGCCGUACCUCCCCAGCCCUGGACAUCAAAAUAAACUGUUUGCCUGGCCUUGAGAAGUACUAAAGACAUUCUUUGCGCAUACGCAGCCCACUCCAGCCCAGUUCACGCCCAGGUGCGAGCCAACUUUUGUUUUCGGGAAUGUCAAGCGAAGCAAUUCAUCGAGAAUAAAGCUGUCAAGAAUCUAGGCUAGGCCAUGGUGGACGGGACUAAAGGUUAAUCUUGCCCUGUGCUGUGACUCCAACAGGGGCCAGCUGCCAGGGUGUAAACAGGAGGUGAUGGCCAGGAGGUGAUGUUCGUUCCCAACAUCCUUGCUGUUUUGCUGGGGAACAAAAGGGACAAGGAGCACAAUCCUUCUUCUGGACCUCUUCGGAGGUGUGAUUUGAUGUCUUCUGCAGGUCGUCUAGUUCCUUAUCUCCUCAGUUCAGGGGUCGUAUAACUCCAUACCCUCCAACCAAUCAGAAACCGGGACAGCUUUUGUAAAUCCGGGACUGUCCCUGGAAAAUAGGGACAUUGGAGGGUCUGGGAGAGAAGAGGGAAGGCCAUGUGCUCCUCUCUGUGCGAGUGUCAGUGCGCAACGAUCAGUGGUUUUGCAGAUGUGGCCAAAGCAAGUACACACUUUCCCCUUGGAACCGCAAAAACAUCUCUCUCACACACACAACUCUCCACUGGCUAGCUUGUGCACAAUGAAAGAGGGAGGAGAACAUACACAAUACCAAAUGAAGUUGUUUAUCCGUGAGCGCAUUCCCAGGAGAGUGCAAGUUCUCAGCCACAUCAAAGGCAGCACGUCCAUCCCCAGCUCAGGCGGUGCAGCUAGAAGCUGGACAAUUAUUCUGUUUAGCUGGCAGGGCUGCCCCCAUUGUACGGCAGGGUAGCUUUCAGAAGUUCCCAGCCAGGCUAAAUCACAACACGAUCCCACUGGAAGCUCUCCGAUACGAGCCCUCAAGCACUUUCUUCCAACCUUGAUUGAUUGAUUGCAAUUAUUAGUCGCUGUUUUUUUAUUAACGGAAAGUAGCUCAAAAAAAAAGGGACAUACAUUAAAACCCACAUGAAGCUAGAACAGAAUAAAAGCUGAAAAUACAUUCCUAAUAACACGCCCACUAAACAAGGUCACAGAGGUCUGGUAGGAGAGAAAACUUUUUGCCCGGUGCCUAAAAACAGAUAGUGAAGGUGCCAGGUGUACCUCGCUGGGGAAAGGGUUCCCCAAGCAGGGAGCCACCACCGAGGAGGCCUGUUCUCAUAUCAUAAAGGUAAAGGUAAAGGGACAGCAUCCUAAAAAGCAGAGACAUCACCUUGCCGACAAAGGUCCGUAUAGUUAAAGCUCUGGUUUUCCCAGUCGUGAUGUAUGGAAGUGAGAGCUGGACCAUAAAGAAGGCUGAUUGCCAAAGAAUGGAUGCUUUUGAAUUCUGGUGCUGGAGGAGACUCUUGAGAGUCCCAUGGACUGCAAGAACAUCAAACGUAUCCAUUCUGAAGUAAAUCAGCCCUGAGUGCUCACUGGAAGGACAGAUCCUGAAGCUAAGCUUUGGCCAUCUCAUGAGAAGAGAAGACUCCCUGGAAAAGGCCCUGAUGUUGGGAAAGAUGGAGGGCACAAGGAGAAGGGGACAACAGAAGACGAGAUGGUUGGACAGUGUUCUUGAAGCUACCAGCAUGAGUUUGACCAAACUGCGGGAGGCAGUGGAAGACAGGAGUGCCUGGAGUGUUUUGGUCCAGGGGGUCACGAAGAGUCGGACACGACUAAACAACAACAACAAAGGGACCCCUGACCAUUAGGUCCAGUUGUGGCUGACUCUGGGAUUGUGGCACUCAUCUCGCUUUACUGGCCGAGGGAGCCGGCGUACAGCUUCUGGGUCAUGUGGCCAGCAUGACUAAGCUGCUUCUGGUGAACCAGAGCAGCGCACGGAAACGCCGUUUACGUUCCCGCCAGAGCGGUACCUAUUUAUCUACUUGCACUGGCGUGCUUUCAAACUGCUAGGUGGGCAGGAGUAGGGACCGAGCAACGGGAGCUCACCCGGUCGCGGAGAUUCAAACUGCCGACCUUCUGAUCGGCAAGUCCUAGGCUCUGUGGUUUAACCCACAGCGCCACCCGCGUCCCUUCUCAUGUCAUAGAAUCGUAGAAUUGUAGAGAUGGGACCCCAAGAGUCAUUUAGUCCAACCCCCUGCAAUUCAGGAAUCUUUGCUGAAGAAUCCCUAAUAGGUGCCCAUCCUGGCCUCUCUUUAAAAGCCAGAGGAGAGCCCACCACCUUCCAAGGAAAUUCAUUCCACUCUUGAACAGCUAAGUUCAAAUUGGAGAAAUUGAGAGAGAGAGAGAGACACCAGCAGCAUAUCUCUUCUUUCUCAUAUCCAAGAAUGCAAGAAGGGCUUUUACACUCGCCAGAAGCUCAGCUCUGCCGUCACAGGUCCUGGAAGCAUCCUUUAAAAAAGUCCCUUAUGCUCAGAGACUUUGCGCCUGUUCAUUGGGGGAGAUAGGAAGCCCAGAGCAGUUGUUCUUUAGAUGUCCCUUUUAUGAAGAGGCAUGUAGUAAGAUCAUUGAUCCCCUGCUGGUGAGGCUCUCUGACCUCCCAGAAAAGCAAAAAUUUGACCUUCUCCUGUUAGGCAAAGGUCAUAAGACGACCCGGAUGGUCGCCAGAUUUUGUGUACAGAUCUGUAGGCGCAGACCAUCCCUCAACCCAAACUAGUUGCUUAAGAAAAUCCCCCAACUCGGUUCCAUGGGUGACUCUGGGUCAUCUCUCUGCGGUGGCUUAUCUUAAAGUUUAAGUGUCUAUACGAUUAUCGCAUUUAUAAAUUUUAAAUUUAUUGUUGUACAUUGUGUUAAAUGUUUGUUUUCCUUUUGGGAUUGUACUCCCAAGUGUGUUUUAUAAGCUGUUCUCCGACCGUAAUAAAUUAUCUAACAGCCAAGUUCUGUUUAAGGACAUUCAGUGACGGAGAACCCAACAUCCCCUGUCGAACGGCUCUUAGAAAGUUCUUCCUAAUGCUUAGUCAGAAUCUCCUUUCUUGCCCUUGAAUCCAUUGGUUUGGGUCCUCCCCAAUGGGGCAGCAGAAAACAAGCCCUUCGGAUAUUUGAAGGUGGCUCUCACAUCUCCUCUUCUCCAGGCUAAACAUUCCCAACAACUCUCUCAACUUUUCUUUUGUAAAAAUAAAAAUAAAUUUUAUUAGAGUUGUUAAAGAGAAAUACAAAGACAAUUGUCCAUUGGUUUGGGUCCAAGCUUGUUCCCUCUUCCAUGUGAGAGCGCUUUAGAUAUCUGAAGACAGCUAUCAUAUCUCCUCUCGCGGGACGCGGGUGGCACUGUGGGUUAAACCACAGAACCUAGGACUUGCCGAUCAGAAGGUCGGCGGUUCAAAUCCCCACGACGGGGUGAGCUCCCAUUGCUCAGUCCCUACUCCUGCCAACCUAGCAGUUCAAAAGCACCUCAAAGUACAAGUAGAUAAAUAGGUACCACUCUGGCGGGAAGGUAAACGGUGUUUCCGUGCGCUGCUCUGGUUCGCCAGAAGCGGCUUAGUCAUGCUGGCCACAUGACCCGGAAGCUGUACGCCGGCUCCCUCGGCCAGUAAAGCGAGAUGAGCGCCGCAACUCCAGAGUCGGUCACGACUGGACCUAAUGGUCAAGGGUCCCUUUACCUUUUAACUAUCAUAUCUCCUCUCGAUCUACAAGCUAAAUAUCCCCAACUACCUCAACUGUUCCUCAUAAGGCUUGGUUUACAUCUUGUCUCUGCAUCUUCCAGCAGAGAAGGAACAGUGCUGGUUGUGAUAAACACAGAGCGAGAUAGAAACCUCCUCACCUCCCUCCAGGCUUCAACAGUUUGCAGCAAUCCCCACCUGUUCCUAGCUUUUUUCUAUUGCUUAUCAGAUGAAGAGAUGGAAGGGGCACAUCAGGCAAUGGAGAUGAUGGCUUCAGAGCGAGCCUGAGAGAUUUGGCCAAAUCUGCCGAUGCAGCUGGAAUCCAGAGAGUGUGAGCACACAAGGCCUAAUGAGAAAUUAGAGAGCCCAAGAUCAGGAAGGAGGGAAAGAGAGCAGGGGGCAAUGCAAAGCCUGUAAUUAAGGGGAGCUGCCAUUCUGUGAAGGGAUUUGAACUCGACACCCACCCUCUUCUUAGUGAAAUGAGGAGCUGUCAGUCAGGAGGAGAUGCUCCGGAGCGUGGCAUCACCUGCUGCUUUGCUGAAAAGAAAGGAAGGAAUCAUGGAAUUGUAGAGCUGCAAGGGACACAAAGGGUCAUCUAGUCCAACCCCCCGGGAUAUGAGAAUCACAGGAAGGAUGAUUCAAGAAAUGGUUAUCCAAAGGGGCCAGUCAAGCAGACGUGUUUACUUGCUCUGCCCUGCGGGCUGACAUGGUUUCCUUGCAGAUCUGGGGGCAGCCAGUUUUAUCACCUGAAAUGUUCACUCAGGGCCCAAAUGAGCAUCUCUAGGAGUGGCUGGUAUUGAGAGGGUAUAGAAUCACAGAAGUGUAGAGUUGGAAGGGACCCAGCUACAGCUUCCUUGGCAAAUGGCCAUUCAACCUCUGCUUAAAAACGUCCAAGGGAGGAGAGUCCGCUGCCUCGCAAGGGAGCCUAUUCCACUGUCAAACUUACUGUCAGAAAGUUCUUCCUGAUAUCUAGUCGGGUAGAAAUCAGAUUCAUCUCACAAUGAAAGGCAAAACUAAUACAGUGGAACCUCCGGGUAAGAACUCAAUUUGAUCCGGAGGUCUGUUCUUCACCCGAAACCGUUCUUAACAUGAGGCGCGCUUUCGCUAAUGGGGCCUCCCACUGCUGCCGUGCCGCCGGCGCACAACUUCCGCUCUCAUCCCAGGGCAAAGUUCACAACCAGGAGCCUCUACUUCCGUGUUAGCGGAGCUCAUUACCCGUAGUGUGCGUAAGGAGGACGGUACAUAACCCGAGGUUCUACUGUCAUACAUUUCCCCAAACAAUUCAUGAACUGAAACGCAGCCAUUUGCAAAGCAUCUCUCCAGACAAGUAUUAGGAACGUGAAAAGAAUUCUGCAAGAUCAGGCCACUGGCCAACCUAGUCCUCACGUUGGCCAACCAGACGCCCAUUGCAGGAACCCCACAAGCAAGACUUGGAGACAAGAGCCCUUCCCCCUCCUGUGGCUUCCAGCCACGGCUACUCAGAAGCAUCGCAGCCUCCAACUUUGCAAGCAGAGCAUAGCCUCUGCCAUGGCUAGUAGCACUGAUAGCCUUUAUUCCCAGGAAUUUGCCUAAUCCUCUCUGAAAGCCAUCCAAACAGCAGACUAUAAAAAGCACACUAAAUUUUGUAGCGGCGCCUCGGACAUCUAUGUUAAGUUUCUUUGAGCUGCUGCUGCUCAGCAUGCAGGAUAAAGAGAACAGCAGGCAGAUACAGAUGUAUUGGGAGAUUGAGAAAGGUUUUGCUUUGCCCUGAGCUCUGUAAAGAAAGCUGCUUUACCACAGUUACAGAGUGGAAAUCUAACCAGGCCCUGAUUCAGAAUCAAGGGAAGUUGCAGUACCAAUCUAUUAUGCCUUGUUCCGACCACAUCUGGAGUCCUGUGUCUAAUUCUGGGCAGUACAAUUUAAGAAGGAUGUUGAUAAGCUGGAACGUGUGCAGAGGGAACAACCAAGGUCAUCUGGGGUCUGGAAACCCAGCCUUGUGAGGAAUGGUUGAGGGAGUUGGGCAAGUCUAGCCUGGAGAAGGGAAGACUAAGGGGGUGAUACGAUAGCGAUCUUCAGAUAUCUAAUGAAUUCUCCCAUGGAAGAUGGAGCAAUCUUGUUUUCUCCUGCUCCAGACAGGACCCAACCCAGUAGAUUCAAGUUACAAGGUAGGAGUUUCUGAAUAAACAUCAGAAAGUACUUUCUGAAAGAGCGAGCUGUUCGAGAGGUGGGAUGGACUGUCCUUGGAGGUUUUUAAGCAGAGGUUGGAUGGACAUCUGUCGAAGAGAAAUAUUUAUGCCCUGCACUAGGCCCUAAAGGUGUAUUGCAGACAUAGGUAAACUCGGCCCUCCAGAUGUUUUGGGACUACAACUCCCAUCAUCCCUAGCUAACAGGACCAGUGGUCAGGGAUGGUGGGAAUUGUAGUCUCAAACUCUCUGCACAGACGGGGAGCCACUGCAGAGAAGGCCUUGCUCUCGUGUUGCCACCCUCCGGACCUCUGGCAGAUGAGGCACAUGAAGAAGGGCCACAGAAGAUGAUCUCCGGAUCCAGGUUGGUGCAUAUGUUCUCAUGCACUUUCAAAGAGAGACAUGAGAUAUCUCCAUUGCCAUACAAGCAAACAGGUUGCUAAAGGCAGCUGAUGCCACAUUCAGAUGUAACAGGAUCUGCCCUCAAGGCAUUUAUUUCUGGCCGGAGGGAUUACUGCCCUGAAGCAGAAACCCUGAGGUUGUAGCUGCGGAAUGCAAAGCAUUAAUCUCAGCUGUUCUGUUCCUGGAAUCUUGGGACGGGUAGAGCGUGGGGCUUGGGGCUUUUCUGGGGAGAGCAGAGGGCUAGCAUCUCAUGGGCUGCAUGCUAUAUGUGGGAUAAAGAGCUAUGCUGCAACAUUCUAGGGCACGGGCAUUGUUGUCACAGGAGACAAAAGGAUUUUUCUCACUUUGAAGGGCAACCAGCGCCCAGACAGCGGAGUCAUAUUUAUUCUGGAUCAUGUACUUUGAGGUCUGCGCAAGAUCAGUUUCCCACACCUCCUCUACAAAUCUCAGCCUUCGUGCCAGGUUCAGCAAUUGUCAUUAAACUCAAGGCACACCUGCCACCUUUCCAAACAGCUGAAGCUGACACCCAGCUUGCCUAAGAACCUGGGACCCUCCAAGUUUCCCUAUUUUCCAGGGACAGCCCCAGACUUAAAGAAGUACAUUUUGAUCCUGGAAUCUCCAGCUUUUCCUCAGGGUGUCCAUCAUUCCAUCGGAGAAAUGUUGGAGGGUAUGGAGUUAUGCAACCCUCGAGCCAAGGAGGCCAGUAACUAGACAACCUUUAGAAGAUAUCUGAAGGCAGCCCUGUAUGGGGAAGGUGUUUUUUUUAAAAAAAAAUGUUUAAAUGUGUUGUUAUGUUUUUCUGGUGUUGGUGCUGGAGGAGACUCUUGAGAGUCCCAUGGACUGCAAGAAGAUCAAACCUCUCCAUUCUGAAGGAAAUCAGCCCUGAGUGCUCACUGGAAGGACAGAUCGUGAAGCUGAGACUCCAAGACUUUGGCCACCUCAUGAGAAGAGAAGACUCCCUGGAAAAGACUCUGAUGUUGGGAAAGAUGGAGGGCGCAAGGAGAAGGGGACGACGGAGGACGAGAUGGCUGAACGGUGUUCUCGAAGCUACCAGCAUGAGUUUGACCAAACUGCGGGAGGCAGUGGAAGACAGGAGUGCCUGGCAUGCUCUGGUCCAGGGGGUCACGAAGAGGCGGACACGACUAAACGACUAAACAGCAACAUGUUUUUCUAUGUUGGAAGCUGCCCAGAGUGGCUGGGACAAUCCAGUCAGAUGGGCAGGGUAUAAAUAAUAAAAUUAUUAUUAUUAUUAUUAUUAUUAUUAUUAUUAUGCGAUAGGAUGUCUCUAUUUUCAUCGGAGAAAUGUUGGAGGAGAUGUGAGAAGCGUCUGCUGGAUCAGGCCAAUGUCACAUCUAGUCCAACAUUAUGUUGUCAUAGUGGCCGACCAGAUGCCCCCAAAGGAAACCUGCAAGCAGGAUUCGAACACAAGGUUUACUCACUUCAUUCGGAAGGUUCUCGAGUGGGUAGGGGGCUCAUAAAAGCUUGCUGCCAUUCUACUCCACCCCUAGCCCUCCUGGGCAAACUGAAAAUGGACAGAGAGAGGAGGAGGAAGAGAAGAGACCAGAUCCUUGACUCCUUGACAGAAAGGCAGGGAGGGACCAGUGGGGAAAGGGAAGGGGGGCUUGGCAGUGCUGGAGAGAAGGGUCUCGCAAAUGCUUGGCUCCAUCGGAAUAAGGAGGUGGGGCAGUAGAUACUCAAGCUGUGGCCCAGCGCGGCAGAGGGUGGGGUGGCACAAACUGGGCAAAGUUUCUAGUCCUUAGAAGCCACCCUGUGAAAACAAGACAGAAAGGGCUGCGGAGAACAGGGAAAAGCGGACCGAUGUGGGCUGUUUUUGUGUGUGGUUUUAAAUGAAACCCCUACAAGAAUGAAUCUGCCUUGAUUAAAAGUAAUUAUCAGCGACUGUCGAUGACGGUUGCUAGGCUCUCCAUCUGCUUCGAGGGAAUGAGUCGCCAAGUUAUCUUUUAUUAGAUCUUCGCCGGACAGGCUGGAUUGUUCUGUGUCUGGGGAAAGCAGCAACAACCCCCCCCCCCCAUUUAAGCAUUUUGCCUUCCUUGCUUCUACCCCCCCACCACCACCACCACCCUAGUCUGGCUGCAAAGCGAUAAAGCCGAGCUCAUUGCUCAGCCACGAAAGAAAAGCGAGUCCAAUUCUGGCCGGCAUCAACAAAAGUAUUGGGGGAAGGAACAGCGCCUUGCACCGCCACAGAAGAUGCUGGACUCUCCUUCAUUGGAAGGUUUUAAACAGGGGAUGGGUGGCCCUCUGUCACGGAGGCUUUAGCUGGGACUCCUGAAUUGCAGGGGUUGGACUAGAUGACGCUUGGAGUCCCUUCCAGCUGUGCAAUUCUAGCAUUUUAGGGUUCUGCCUUGGUCGGACCCCCCCACCAGGAAUAUCUGCAAAAGCGGUGGCUUGAUCUCUCCCAGAUCUGCAGGUAAUCACCGGUAUUGAUCAACCCUGUGCUACAAGAGGCAGGCAGAAAGCGAAGUCUCACUCUCCACUCUGGGAUGUGACCCAUGAGAGGCAGUCAAGUCCAACAUUCCCUGUAAUGCUAGAGAAGAUAUGCAAGGGAAUGUUUGGUCUAGCCAGUCAAAACUUCCUGUUCCUCCUGGCUGGAGCAUCCUUCCUUUCGCAUGUGAUAGAAGGUGGGCGUGACCAGCACACCACCUCCUCUUCCAUCUUCCUUUCGUCAUGUGAACUGCUGGACUGCUAGCCUGCAGUAACUGGGAUUAUUCCCCAUAUGGGGUAGAUCCACAUGCACAUAGCUGUAACUAAGUCUGCCAUCAGGGACCCAACUGUGAACUGUCAUAAGUAAACUUCUUUUAUUGGCUUUGAAUAAGAUUGUGGCAUCUUUAUUCCUUUAAGAGGGAUUCAAGGGAAUUUACCAGGAACGUACAAUUCAAUCUGAGACAGAUUGAAUUGUAUAAUAGCGAGAGGCUCACACGAGCCUGCAAGCAGCUCUCUGUUGUGCAUGUAAAAGGGGGAAUGUAAAUUCUGCUACAUAAGGGAACUUGUUAGUGCAAGUAAGGAAGGAUAUUAAUAAACAAUAUAUCUCUCCUGCCACCUUGAACAUUCCCACAUCCACUUGUAGCCAGAAAAGACAAGUCCACCCUCAGCAUCUCUGGAGAACAGAAUAAAAUACCUCAUGCUUCUCUUCAUGCGAAUAAUGAGAGUGAAGAAGUGGUCCCUCAAUAUUCCCCUGCCUCCUCCGCUCAUUACUGGGAGCUGAAUGGGAUUUAAUUUGAUCACCUCCUGCAACUGAAAUGGGUUUGUUUUUUUCAGUGAAGAGGAGGGGAGAAGAAAGGUCGGUCCAGCUACCUUAGCUUUUUCUAUAUAUUCUUAAGAGGAAUCAUAGAAUCANNNNNNNNNNNNNNNNNNNNNNNNNNNNNNNNNNNNNNNNNNNNNNNNNNNNNNNNNNNNNNNNNNNNNNNNNNNNNNNNNNNNNNNNNNNNNNNNNNNNAUAGAAUCAUAGAAGAGUUGGAAGAGACCACAAGGGCCAUCGAGUCCAACCCCCUGCCAAGCAGGAAACACCAUCAGAGCACUCCUGACAUAUGGUUGUCAAGCCUCUGCUUAAAGACCUCCAAAGAAGGAGACUCCACCACACUCCUUGGCAGCAAAUUCCAUUGUCGAACAGCUCUUACUGUCAGGAAGUUCUUCCUAAUGUUUAUUAUUAUUAUUUUUAAUGAUAUUUAUUAAAGUUUCAAAGAAAAGAUUACAUAAAUAAAAAGAGAAAGAAAGAGAAAGAAAUAAAAAAGAAAAAAUACAAAAUACAGAAAAAAGAUAAAAAUCUUUCCAUGCCUUACAUUUCAUUUCCUUGCUUCCCUGACCUCCUCACACCUCCCUUUUUUGUGUUCCAGUUCUAUUAGUUAAUUCAGCAAUUCCUUUCCCUCUUUGUUUUUGUCUUAAUCCUUUAACUUAAUAUAUUAUAACUUUGGAUUUUCACCUGUUAACAAUCCAUUUUUACAUACACAUUUAUAACAUUGCUGCUAAACCACUUAACUUCAUUCUGACAUCAUUCUGACAUUCAUUAAUUUUGCAGUAUUUCUGUAAAUAGUCUUUAAAUUUCUUCCAAUCUUCUUCCACCGACUCUUCUCCCUGGUCUCGGAUUCUGCCAGUCAUUUCCGCCAGUUCCAUAUAGUCCAUCACCUUCAUCUGCCAUUCUUCCAGAGUGGGUAAAUCUUGUGUCUUCCAAUACUUUGUAAUAAGUAUUCUUGCUGCUGUUGUGGCAUACAUAAAGAAAGUUCUGUCCUUCUUUGGCACCAAUUGGCCGACCAUGCCCAGGAGAAAGGCCUCUGGUUUCUUCUAGAAGGUAUAUUUAUAUACCUUUUUCAUUUCAUUAUAGAUCAUCUCCCAGAAAGCCUUAAUCCUUGGGCAUGUCCACCAAAGGUGAAAGAAUGUACCUUCAGUUUCCUUACAUUUCCAACAUUUAUUAUCGGGCAAAUGAUAGAUUUUUGCAAGCCUGACUGGUGUCAUGUACCACCUGUAUAUCAUUUUCAUAAUAUUCUCUCUUAAGGCAUUACAUGCCGUAAACUUCAUACCUGUGGUCCAUAACUGUUCCCAGUCAGCCAUCAUUAUGUUAUGUCCAACAUCUUGUGCCCAUUUAAUCAUAGCAGAUUUCACCGUUUCAUCCUGAGUAUUCCAUUUCAACAGCAAGUUAUACAUCUUUGACAAAAUCUUAGUUUUGGGUUCUAACAGUUCUGUUUCUAAUUUUGAUUUUUCCACCUGGAAGCCAGUUUUCUUGUCCAAAUUGUAUGCCUCCAUUAUCUGUGGAAGUUCUUCCUAAUGUUUAGGUGGAAUCUUCUUUCUUGUAGUUUGGAUCCAUUGCUCCGUGUCCGCUUCUCUGGAGCAGCAGAAAACAACCUUUCUCCCUCCUCUAUGUGACAUCCUUUUAUAUAUUUGAACAUGGCUAUCAUAUCACCCCUUAACCUCCUCUUCUCCAGGCUAAACAUGCCCAGCUCCCUUAGCCGUUCCUCAUAAGGCAUCGUUUCCAGGCCUUUGACCAUUUUGGUUGCCCUCCUCUGGACACGUUCCAGUUUGUCCGUGUCCUUCUUGAACUGUGGUGCCCAGAACUGGACACAGUACUCCAGGUGAGGUCUGACCAGAGCAGAAUACAGUGGCACUAUUACUUCCCUUGAUCUAGAUGCUAUACUCCUAUUGAUGCAGCCCAGAAUUGCAUUGGCUUUUUUUAGCUGCCGCGGACGGGUGCUCUCUGUAAGUAAAUACGCAGCAUCACUUUAGAAAAACUGGACAUUAAUGUCAGAAGAGCCUGCUGGAUCAGGCCAAUGGCCCACCCAGGCCAGCAUCCUGUUCUCAUGGUAGCCAAGCGGAUGCCUGUGGGAAACCCGCAAGCAGGAUUCGAACACAAGAGCACUUCUCCCCUCUUGCUGUUUCCAGCCACUAGUAUUCAGAAAAAUUGCAGCCGCCAACUCUGAAGGCAAAGCUUAGCCAUCGUGGCCUGUAGCCUUUGAAAGCCUCACCCCCCGUGAAUUUGUCCAGUCCUCUUUUAAUGCCAUCAAGAUUGCUGGCCCUCCCUGCCUCCAGUGACAGGGAGUUCCAUAGCUUUAAGAGGGACUUCUUCUUUUGUCCUCAGUCUUUCAACAUUCAGCUUCAUUGCAUGUCCACAAGUUCUAGCGCUAUGAGCGAGGAAGAGAAAAAACUUUUCUCUCUCUGCUUUCUCCCUACUGAGGCAUCAGAUCAAGGCCUGCAUUUUAAAAUGAGCUUAAAAAAUAUAUUUGCAAAUGUUUGUAUGUUUUAUGCCAGGCAUAAAGCAGCUGGCUGAGUACUUUGGCAGAUGUUUAUCUCCUUGAACAGGGCCCCUCUGAUCUAUAGCAGUGCCUCAGGGUUGUAAAAGGAAAUUACAGGCUGGGAGCAAAAGGUCAUAUUGACCAUACAAAUUACAGAAUACAAUCAAGCUGCAAAAAUACUAAUUAAGAGUUGGUAAAUAGUGAAAUUUAUUGUUUAACAGAAAAUAAUCCCAUGUGCCUCCCAUUAGACUUGAGCCACAUCUUCCUAAGGUUAAAGGGCAAGAGCUAAUAGAAACAGCAGCUGGCUUGAAAGGGGGGUGUAAAUUUAAGGGGUUGCUUUUGGAAACUGUUUUUACUAAGUUCCUUUCCUUCUAAAAAGCUAUAUAUGUUAAUGUAUGAAAUAUAUUGGCUUAAAUGUAAUUAUGCAAAGGAUUUAGAAAGUAAGAAAUGUUAGAUUCUUAUGUUAGAUUCUUAUUUCAUUGAUGGUGUGUGAGAAGGUGAACCCAAGAUCUCUGUUUUAGCCAUCUGUUUUGGAGUGAAUAGGGCAAUAGGGUAAUAGGGCAAUAGGGCAAAAGGUGAUCUGGUAAUUGAGGUGCCUGGUCGAGGCAAAUGUAAGAUAUAUGGCUACUUGUCUGCCAUUUAUGGAUAGAAGGAAAUAUAGCUCUUUGUCUCCCAUAAAAGGUAAUAGGAAAUGGGUGUAUCUUUUAUGAUUGGUUCUAGCAAACAGCCAAUAGGAAUUUCAACCAGGCUGAUUGGACAGAGGCAGCCAAAGGAGGAGCAAGGGGGCUGGGCUGAGGAAAUAUAAGUGCUGGCCAUCAGGGCUGGAGUAGGCAGAGCUUUGGUAACCAUAUACCACUGUGUCUCUCAUUUAUUUGUCUGACAAAUAAAUUAUUAUUUUAAUUUCUCUAUUGCUGCGUUGAAUGUUUCAUUCCAGCUAAGCGUUAACCACAAGCAGGGUGCUACACUACUUUGCAUUAUUUUUUUAAACUUCUACCAUGUUGCAUCUUCCUUGGCUGUUCUCAGAACUGAAAAGCCUCAAAUACUCCCCAUUCUUCACAGGGGAGUCGCUCCUUCCCCUGGGUCACUUGACUUGCCCUUUACUGAAAAAUUUCCAACUCUAUAAUAUCCUUUUUGGGGUGAUAUAUCUUCCCUAAAACUUUUGCAGCUGCAAAUACUACUGAAAGUGGUGUUGUGUGUAAUUGCUCUGACACCAUCGUGAGCACAAUUUGUCAUAAGGAGAAGGGCUAUCUGGAGGAACCCUGGGAUUUCCUUUUAUAUAAAUAAUUUUUUUAUUUGAUUUAAGUAUAUAUAUAAACAUACAACCAAAAACAGUUCUGAAUCCCAAUAUCAAGAUUGCUCUGAAUCUUUUGACUUUCCCCCUAUCCCUUUCGUCCCUUGGGUCCUAAAGGUAUUAUUUAGUACUACUACUAUUACUACUACUAAUAAUAAUUUAUUAUUUAUACCCCGCUCACUCUGGGCAGCUCCUAACAGAAUAUUAAAAAUAGAACCAACCAUUAGAAACUUCCCUAAACAGGGCUGCCUCCUUCAGAUGUCUUCUAAAAGUCAGACAGUUGUUUAUUUCCUUGACAUCUGAAAGGAAGGCAUUCUACAGGGCGGGCGUCACCACUGAGAAGCCCCUCUACCUGGUUCCCUGUAGCCUCACUUCUUGCAGGGAGGGAACCGCUAGAAGGCCCUCACAGCUGGACCUCAGGGUCUGGGCUGAACGAUGGGGGUGGAGACACUCCUUCAGGUAUACUUAUCAUUACUUAUCAAAAAAUGUAAUCCUUCUAAAUUAUCCCUGCUUUCCAUUACUUUACAAGUGUGGUUCAAAUCCUGCUAAUGUUUUAACCUGCUUGCAGUGGUCUCUUAAAUAAAUUAUAAACUUUCCCCAUUCCUUGUCAAAGUUCUUGUCUUCUUGAUUUCUGAGCUUCCCAGUUAAUUUUGCCACUUCGGCAUAGUUCAUGAGUAGGCAAACUAAGGCCCAGGGGCCGGAUCCGGCCCAUUCGCCUUCUAAAUCCAGCCCAUGGACGGUCUGGGAAUGAGCGUGUUUUUACAUGAGUAGAAUGUGUCCUUUUAUUUCAAAUGCAUCUCUGGGUUAUUUGUGGGGCAUAGGAAUUUGUUCAUCCCACCCCCCAAAAAUUAUAACCUGGCCCCCCACAAGGUCUGAGGGACAGUGGACCGACCCCCUGCUGAAAAAGUUUGCUGACCCCGGCAUAGUCCAUCAACUUGGUUUUCCCGGGACUCUGGGACUUCCAAGCAUGAGUGCAACACUUCUUCCUUCCUCUCCAAAGUGUCACUGAGUCACAAAAGGAGCCAGCAAAGCCCUCCUUGCCAAAAUAAAGUGUUUCUUAACCUCUCCCCCCCUCCUUUUUUCUCCAGUUCCUCAAAUGGCAACAACUGCACAGCCCAGAGUAUUUUCACUUUCCGCAACUCAUUUCUGUGUGGACCUAGUUCUCCGCGGGUGGUUUAAUCACAGUGAUUAUGAAGAUGCAGGCGCCUGGUGGAAAACAUCAGGAAUAUGAAGAAUUGCUCAACUGCGGCCCUUGAGUUGGAAAGAAAGGCGAUUAACUCCUUCCCAACCUGCGCCUGCAAUAAUAUAUAUAAAACGUGGCCGCCUGUUGCUGUAUCAGGAGAUUAAGCCCAUCCCACUUAACAGUGGCUGAGAGAACGAAAAACAGGAAGAAAAUAAAAACAGACGGGUAAGUCACCAAGAAAGAAAGGGCCCAAACUGUGCCAAAAAAAGACUUAACGUAUGAAGUUGUUGUCUGCUGAAUCGGACUGUUCAUUGCUCCCCUCCAUCACUGCCUCACCUCCUUGGGGUCUCAGGCAGAAACAGCAUCUUCUCCAUCCCUGCUUCUUGAGAUGACUUUUCAAUCAUACAAUUGUAGAGUUGAAAGGGACCCCUAAGGGUCAUCCAGCCCAACCCGCUGCAAUGCAGGAGUCGCAGCUCAAGAUUCCCUGAUGGAUGACCACAAGCCAUCAACCUCUGCUUAAAAACCUCCACCACCUUCUGAGGGAGUCCAUUCUGCUAUCAAACAGCUCUUGCCUUCAGAAAGUUCUUCCUUGCUGGACUCUCCUUCCUCUGCCGUUUUUAAGCAGAGGCUGGAUGUCUGCCUGUCAGGGAUCCUUGAGCUGUGAUUCGUGCGUUGCCGGGGGUUGGAUUGGAUGACCCUCAGAGGUCCCUUCGAACUCUACAACGCUAUGAUUCUGUGAUGAGGACUGUGGCAUAUUGUGAAUCGCAGGACCUUUUCAAAGAAGCUGGUCACGAAUUGGCCCAGCCCUGGACCCAAUGACAAUGCAGGUAAGUUUGUCUUCUGGGUCAGGCCCCAAUCCCCUGUUCCUCAUCUUCCUCUUCUCACACAUCGCUGCUGCUGCAGUCUCUGCCCACUUGCAAAUUUCCAUCCCUUCGUUUAUUUAAAUGCACAUGCUGUUCAUCCCACUAAGAUUCUCGCUUCCCACAGUAUAAAAAAACCCAUAUAUAAAAUAUCAGCUCCCCACCAAAAAAACAAAAACAAAUCUAAAAGAGCUAGCACAUCAAUACAAGCAGAAGAAGAGAGAUUAAAAACAAGGACUUGAGGGCAGCAGAACAGAUCCAUAAUUCAGGGCUCAGCUCCGUGUAACAAAGACAUCUUUAAGAUGCUCCGGGAAAAACCCCAGGGGUUCGACCAGGCAGGGGAGGUAGCAGACAGCUACUAACAUCUCCUUGCAGAGUUCAUUCCACAAAGGUGCUUUAGACUAGAGAAGUGGAAACCCUUUUUGCCCAAGAGACACAGUCGGUCCUUUCAAAGGUCACCUAAGAAGAGCCGGCCAAUGGCCUGCAUGUACAGUAAAGAAAAUGAGUUGAGCUUCCAAGGACUGUGGUGGGAUGAAAGAUGGUGGGGCGAAAGAGUGCUAAGUUCAUGUAUAUUUUUCCUAUAGAGAGUGUAUCAUCAUGAAUUUGGCAAUUACAACUCAAUCCUAAAUCUGUUUGCUUACAAAUAAAUCCCAGUAAUUUCCUUGAAAAAGGUCAAUAUGGAGGUCAAAUGGCCGAAAUAUUGGGAAAUUUUGGAACAAGACGGAGAUAGACUGAAAUUGCAGAGUUUUGAAAAACUAAAAAACAAAGUGCGAGACUGGCUUCAUUAUUAUCAGAUAAUGGAGGCAUUUAAAUUGGACAGGAAAAUUGGCUUCCAGGUGGAGAGAUCCAAAUUAGAAACAGAACUGUUAGAACCCAAAACUAAGAAUUUGUCAAGAACGUAUAACUUGCUGCUGAAAUGGAAUACUCAAGAUGAAACGGUAAAAUCGGCUAUGAUUAAAUGGGCACAGGACGUUGGACAUAACAUUAUGUUUGCUGACUGGGAACAGUUAUGGACCACAGGUAUGAAAUUUACGGCAUGUAAUGCCUUAAGAGAGAAUAUUAUGAAAAUGAUAUACAGGUGGUACAUAACCCCAGUCAAGCUUGCGAAAAUCUAUCACUUGCCCGAUAACAAAUGUUGGAAAUGUAAAGAAACUGAAGGUACAUUUUUUCACCUUUGGUGGACGUGCCCAAAGAUUAAGGCAUUCUGGGAAAUGAUAUAUAAUGAAUUAAAAAAGGUAUUUAAGUAUACCUUCCCUAAGAAACCAGAGGCCUUUCUCCUGGGCAUAGCCGGCCAAAUGGUGUUAAAGAGGGAUAGAACUUUCUUUAUGUAUGCAACAACAGCAGCAAGAAUACUCAUCGCAAAGUGUUGGAAGACACAAGAACUUCCCACACUGGAGGAAUGGCAGAUGAAACUUAUGGACUAUAUGGAACUGGCGGAAAUGACUGGUAGAAUCCGUGACCAGGGAGAAGAGUCGAUGGAGGAAGACUGGAAGAAAUUCAAAGACUAUCUUCAGAAACACUGCAAAAUUAAGGAAUGUUAAAGGGAUGUUGGACUGAAAGUAAGUUUCCAGCUGCACAGGUUAAAGUUAAUGAUAGAUUAAGAUUAAAGAUCAAGAUUAAAGAUGUUUAAAGAAAUGGAAAUUUGAUACUAAAAGGGAAAAUUUUAACGUUAUAUGAUAUUAAGAUCAAGGAUUAGGUUUAAAAAGUUGAAGUUAUAUAUUUUAACAUUUUAUUAAAUUAAAGAUUGGGAUUAAAAAGUGGAAAAGAAACUGCUGGACAAAUAAUGUGGAUUGGAAUACAAAGAGGGAGGUAUGAGGAAGUCCAGAAAAUAAUUAAUUUAAAAUUGGAAAUGGAAAAGAGAGUUUGUUUUUAAUUGUUAUGUUUUUUGUUUUUUAUUGUUGAGUUUUGUAUUGUUUGUUGUGUGUGUUGUUUUUUUUUCUUUUGUUGUUUAAAAUUUUAAUAAAAAUUAUUAAAAAAAAAAAACCAAAGGCAAUAAAGGUAAAGGUACCCCCGCCCGUACGGGCCAGUCGUGUCCGACUCUAGGGUUGCGCACUUAUCUCACUUAAGAGGCCAGGAGCCGGCACCGUCCGAAGACACUUCCGGGUCACGUGGCCAGCGUGACGAAGCUGCUCUGGUGAGCCAGCACCAGCUCAGCACACGGAAACACCGUUUACCUUCCCGCUAUAAAGCGGUACCUAUUUAUCUACUUGCACUUAGGGGUGCUUUUGAACUGCUAGGUGGGCAGGAGCUGGGACCAAACGACGGGAGCUCACCCCGUCGCGGGGGUUCGAACCGCUGACCUUACGAUCAGCAAGUCCUAGGCACUGAGGUUUUACCCACAGCGCCACCCACGUCCCAAAGGCAAUACCCCUGCCCUACUGCCAUCUCGUGGGUGGCCCCACUGUGGGGAUGUUGUGGUUAACAGGAGAGGAUACAUUGAUUAAUAUUAUCCUUCCUAACUCGCGCUAACAAGUUUCUUUAUACGGCAGACUGCAUUCACCUAUUACACACCAGGAAGCUGGCAGCAGACUCGUGUGAGUCUCUUAAGGCAAUAAGCAAUUCAAUCCGGCUUGCCCAGAAAGAGAUAUGUUCUAUUAUUCCUGGUAAGACCCCUUUGAUCCCUCCUAAAAGAAUAAAGACACAACAGCCUUAUUCAUAAGUAACAAAAAGUAAAAAAAAAAAUCCUUCUGGUAGCACCUUAGAGACCAACUAAGUUUCUUAUUGGUAUGAGCUUUCAUGCGCAUGCACACUUCUUCAGAUACCGUUUCGUGUGCAUGAACAUGAAAGCUCAUACCAAUAACAAACUUAGGUAAAGGUAAAGGGACCCCUGACUGUUAGGUCCAGUCGUGUCCGACUCUGGGGUUUUGGUGCUCAUCUCGUUUUAUUGGCCGAGGGAGCGGGCGUACAGCUUCUGGGUCAUGUGGCCAGCAUGACUAAGCCACUUCUGGCGAACCAGAGCAGCGCACGCAAACGCCGUUUACCUUCCCGCUGGAGCAGUACCUAUUUAUCUACUUGCACUUUGAUGUGCUUUCGAACUGCUAGGUUGGCAGGAGCAGGGACCGUGAAACGGGAGCUCACCCUGUCGUGGGGAUUUGAACUGCCGACCUUCUGAUCGGCAAGUCCUAGGCUCUGUGGUUUAACACACAGCGCCACCCGCGUCCCUACAGUAACAAACUUAGUUGGUCUCUAAGGUGCUACUGGAAGGAAUUUUUUUAUUUUGUUUCGACUACGGCAGAACAACACAGCUACCUGCCUGCAACAAAAAGUAGUUUUACUCACGAUCAGGCAAAGCACAGUGUGAUCCCUGAAGGCAGACUUUAGGCUUAAAGUUACAAAUAUGUACAAACAGGUUUACCCCAUAUAGGAGAUAACCCAGGGACUGCUGGCUGAGAGUGCGGUCCAGGUGAUGCAGGCAGGACGAAAAAGAAGGGAGGUAGCUACAAGACUUGACCUUUUUCUAGGUCUGGAAAGGUCACGCCCACCUACUAGUCACAUGCAAAGGAAGGAUGCUCCAGCCAGGUGUGACAGGAAGUUCAACUGGCUGGACCAACAUUCCCCAUGCAUGUUCACUCUAGGCAAACGGGAAAUGUACUUGACUGCUCCAGUGGAUUACGUCCCAACCCACCAGUAUAGAACUCCCUUUGUGAAACAAUCCUUCAGAACCUUGACCUCCCAUCCUGCUUUUAGAUGGGUUCUGAAAACUUUUAUUUCAUUAUCCCAACAGGCAUUUUUAAAGUCCUUUUUUUUUUCACUGAUGAUUUAGCUGUUUCCCUGGUGCAUUUAUUUCUGCUCAUUGUCAGGAUUUUUUUUAAAAAAUGGUUUGUUUGUCUUUUUUUUGGGGGGGGGGAAUAUUGAUUUUGUCUUUUUUUAAAAAAAAUAUAUUCAUUUUGUUGUAUUGAUUUGAUAUGCUCGUUUGCUGCUUGCCCUGUUGGGGGGGGGGAGCAGCUGAAAAUUAAUUAGAACAAACCAGAGGAAGUUCAAGAGGUGAAUCUGGGCAACUUGCAUCCCACUGCCAGGUUUUUUGGGGGUGGGGAGGGAGGAGGGGUGAGGGAGCUCAAUCUUGGAGAGGAGCAGAUACAUCUGGAGUUAGGGUUGUGCCAGAAAUUUUUUAUCCUGCGUUAUUUUUAUUCUUUUCUUCCCUCCAUGUAUUUUUGAGGAAAAGAGCUGAUUUGAAAAUUAUGAGAGGAGAGAGGCAGGCUUUGUGAAAUGCACAGGUUGGGAUGGGGUGGGUGAGCACCCUUCAUGCAACAAAUCUUAUCUCCAGGGGUCUGCACUCUGCAGACCACCACCCACUCCUGGUGGCUGCAUUUGCUGAAACCCCAAGAAAAUCCUCAUCCGAGUGUUAACAUGGGAAUGUCCAUUGGAGGUUUCUAAGCAGAUCCACGUGAUGGUCACCUGCAGACUUGAUUAUUGUAACUCACUCUACGUGGGGCUGCCCUUGAGACUGACCCAGAAACUCCAGCAGGUGCAGAAUGCCGCGGCGAGACUCCUUAUGGGGUCUUCGCUGCGGGAUCACAUUCACCCGGUGCUAUACCAGCUGCACUGGCUGGAGUAUAAGUUCAGGUUUAAGGUGCUGGUUUUGACCUAUAAAGCCCUAUGCGACCUAGGACCCUCAUACCUACGGGACCGCCUCUCCUGGUAUGCCCCACAGAGGACCUUACGGUCUUCAAACAAAAACACCUUGGAGAUCCCGGGCCACAGGGAAGUUAGACUGGCCUCAACCAGAGCCAGGGCUUUUUCGGCUGUGGCCCCAGUCUGGUGGAACGCUCAGUCACAAGAGACUAGGGACUUGACAUCUUUCUGCAGGGCCUGCAAGACAGAGCUGUUCCACCAGGCCUUUGGCCGGGGCACAGCCUGACCCCCUCCUUUGGCAAUCCUCACAGAACUCUAGCCCAAUGGUUGCUAUUAAUUAGACUCUGAAUUGAUUUUAGAAUGAAUUGAUUUUAGAAUGUAUUUCAAUUAAAUUAUGAUUUUAUGUAAACUGUGGUUUUUUUACUGUUUUUAGCUGCUCUGACCCCGGCUUCGGCUGGGGAGGGCGGGAUAUAAAUAAAUUUUAUUAUUAUUAUUAUUAUUAUUGGUUGGCUGGUUAUCUCUCAUGGAAGUUUUAGUCACAAUUCCUGCAUUGCAGGCGUUUGGACUAAAUUGGGGUCCCAUCCAGCUGUACAAUUCCAUGAUUCUAACACGGGGACAUAAAAAGCUGGCUGAUCCCGAAUCGGACUCUUGCCUCAUUUAGCUCUGCAUAGCCUGCACUGACUGGCAGCAGCCCUGCAGGAUUUUUAGAGGCUGCCUGCCUGCCUGCUUUCUUAAGGAACAUAGCAGUUCCCAGUUCUCCAACAUUGGGAGCACCACCUCAUUUGGGAAAGGGGCUUCCAGUUCUUCAGAAAGUGGCAGACUCUCCUUUGCUGGAGGUUUUUAGGAAGAGCUUGGAUGGCCACAUGUCAGGGAUGCUUCCUGCAUUUCAGAGGGUUGGACUAGAAGACACUCAGGGGACCCUUCCAUCCCUACACUUCUCUGAUUCUGUGAGUGCAGCAAAAGCACUUUCCAUUCAUCCCCAAAUGCUCCACGCUGUGUUAUGCCCUCCUCCCCUCUCUGCAUUGCAACCCCUGACGUGUGGAAGGCGUGGAAUAAAUGCCCUAUUUCUGCCACUGCCCUUUGUCUCCCUCCAGGCAGAAGCUCUCCGACUCUUCGGUGUAGGCCGGAAGAGGAGACCCAGUGACCUCCUUUCUCUUCGGGAAACAAACAUCUCUGAAAAGCACUUUGGGAUGGGUCAGAGGUCAGGAUGCAGAGCCUGCCACGGCAGGGCAGGCUUGCAUUUUCCCCCACUUCCUCUUGACAGGCAAGGAGAUCACGAGAAAGCGGUGUUUCGACGGGGGAAGCGGAGAGAAAGCACGCCUGUCAUUUCAAAACAGAAGUACCUAAGAAGAGCUUGUUGGAUCGCCCAGCAUCAUGUUCUCCCAGGGCCUGACCAGAUGCACCAGUGCCGCAAGCAGGAUCCGAGCACAAGGGCAACUCUCCCCCGCUGUGGUUCCCAGCAACUGCAAUUCAGAAGCCUUGCUGCCUCCGACUGUACAGUGUUGUAAACAAAAACUGCCCUUUUUCCCUUUUGGGGUAUCCAAGAGCCCAUAUAGAGUCCUUACGUAGGUUCCCCAUUGGUAGGAGAAAAGAACAGAGGCCAGCCAGAGAAUAUUGAGAAGCAAAGCAGCUCGUAAGCCUGAUCUUUAUUGAUCAGUUGCAACAGGGUGCUCCCUUCACAUGCAGGAAGAGGAACCCCGAACAAAAGUGUGCCCGCCCUUAUAUAGACAUUUUAAAUUGUCCGCCUUGGAGUCCAAGACCACCCCCAGAAACAUCAUACAUACAUCACAGAAGGGGUGUAACCUAAACCCACCCCCCAGAUACAUCAUACCUACAUCACUGAAAGGGCGGUCUACAGCAGAAAUCUGAGUGCGUUGUUUACCUCCUGUCUGGCAGGUUACUUGUUUAAUGGUCACUUGAUUGGAUACCCUGGGGAGCCUGGCCAGUCUUUUGUAAUGACAAAUACUUAGUUCCUGAGCUCACAGGCUCACCCUGUUCACACACAGACAUACCCUUAAGACAGGCUUUGUGAAGGAAAAGACAAUGGGGAAGCUUUUCCAUUUUCCUUGACCUUGCAGAGAAAUCAUUUGGUCAGUUUGGGAGUCAAAAUUGUUUCAGGGCUGUUUUCCUGUGCUGCUUCAGACAUGUGGUUUAUAUAUUUAUGUAUGUGUUUGCUUGGUACAUUUAUGAACAUUUAUUAUACAUAUAAGACCUUACAUUUUUUAUUUCAGUUGACCCAUAAGAACUCACAGCUCGUUUUUGGGGAAAUACCUGACAAAGGCAAAGAGGGUGGCAAAGUGGGGCAUAAGCCUUGUAUAUAAGGGCAAGCAGAACUAUCACAGAAUUGUAGAGCUGGAAGAGGACCCCUGAAACCAUAAGGGUAUGUCGUGUGUAUGAACAGGAUGUGAGCCUGUGACCUGGCUCAGGAACUAAGUAUUUAUCAUUACAAAAGACUGGCCAGGCUCCCCAGGGUAUCCAAUCAAGUAAGCAUUAACAGGUAACCUGGCAGACUGGAGGUAAACAACGCACUCAGAUUUCUGUUGUAGACCACCCUUUCUGUGAUGUAGGUAUGAUGUUUCUGGGGGUGGUCUUGAGCUCCAGGGCGGGCAAUUAAAAAUGUCGAUAUAAGGGCGGGCACACCUUUGUUAGAGGUCCUCCUCCUUUCCUGCGUGUGGGGGGAGCACCCUGUUGCAACAGUUCAAUAAAGAUCAGACUUACUAGCUGCUUUGCUUCUCAGUAUUCUCUGCUUGGCCUCUGUUAUUUUCUCCGACCGAUGGAGAACCUGCAAAGGACUCCAUAAGGGCUCUUGUGUCCUCCAUAAGGGAAUAAGGGCAGAUUUUCGUUUAAUACACAACACAGCUAUCGUUUCAUUUUUAGGUUACUGAAAAACAAAGACCUCCCUAACAGGCCCCCUUUCCAGUGGCUGGAGUCACCCUGGUGCCAUAAAGUCACAGCUGGGCCUUCCUAACUGACAAGGAAAAGAUGCCAUGAGAAACAUAAUGAGCCAUCAUCACCCAAGUGUGAGCGAGACCCUGAGCGUGGGACGGUUCCCCUGGGUUUUGUCUUGGCCCAGAAACAGAACCCAAACUGCGAGAAGCUUGACAGGAAUAGCAACACUCAGGAUCAAUAGCGCUCAUUCAUCCAAGGAGCUCUCGACACGGAUAAGAGAGCCAGGCAGAUAUUCCGGCAUCGUAUCAAGGCAGAAGAAUCUGCAGCUCUUUGGUCAGGUGUGCAAGAAGAGGAAAAACACCUAGAGCAGCUGUUCCCUGUAGCAGGAACCCCCCACCCCAAUCAUUCAGUUUGUACAAACUUCACACACUCACACUCACACACUACAUAUGCCACACCUGUUAUAAAUUUAUAGAAAAAUCAACCAUACAUCAGAUUUGCAUGGUUCCAUUUUUAUUUUACUCCAUAUGACAAGGACUAUCAAAGGGGGGUGGCUUGGUUCUGGUCAGCCAUAAUCCCGUCACCAUCCCAGCACAUCCACAGGAGCCCUGCCCAGUUGCUAUGCCAACCCUGAUGGUCCUAGACAGAAGACCAUCAAGAUCACAAAGAACUUGCAUAUGGGAGUGGAUUCAGCAUGGACUGAAACAAAGGACAAUGAUCAGAUCUUCCCUCUGGGGGCAGGAAACUGCCAACUCCCUUUUGUCUCCUGGAAGUGACUCAUGGGCAGGGGGAAAGGAGGAACCAGCCAGGUGACAGGACACUCAGGUUACCACCACAACUCCUCCCUCAACCCCUCCUUUCUGUAAUAUAUGCAUGAUGUUUCUGGGGGUGGGCUUGAUCUACAGGGUGGGAAUUUCAAAAGUUUUUAUAAGGUCUUGCACACCAUUUUCUGUGUCUUUCCUCUCUCCUGCAAGUGAGGGAACACCCUGUUGCAACAGUUCAAUAAAGGCCAAGCCUACAGGCUGCUGUUUUGCUCCAAGUUAUCCUGGUUGGUGUCUUUGUUUUUGUCCAAGGGAGCCCUCGGAUUUUUCCGGUAACAUCCCACAAUGCUAGAUCUGCUAUGCUUAGUUUUGUCAGCGCUGAAUGGAAGCAGAGAAUUGCAAAUCAAAAGGAGAACUGUCCCGACCUGGAGAUGCCUUCUCCAUGCAAGUGUUCUGCCACCGAACCACAAACUAGGCAGGAUAUGGAGAAUUUUGCAAGCUGGCAACUGAAUCUGGGACUGGCCAUUGGUCCAGCUAGCUAUGUAAUGUCCACACUGACUGGAAGCAGCUCUGCAGGAUUUUAGGGCUCACCCACACUUGGGUUUGCCCCAAAGCUUUCCUUCUGCAGUUUAGCACUGAAUCAGAACAAACAGCAAUUGGGUUUUCUGUGAAAUUGCCUCUUAUUCUAGCCAGAAGCAUUUUUGUUAGGGACUGUAGGAAAAGACCUGCCAAGGAAAGUGAAGAAUAUAUUUAGGUAUGCAACAACGGAGGCAAGAGUCUUAAUAGCACAAGGAUGGAAGAAUGAAGAAACCCCAACAAAAGAACAGUGGCAAGAGAAAUUGAUGGAUUAUGCAGAACUGGUAAAAUUGAUGUAUAAAUUGCGAGAUAAGGACAAGUGUGACUUUAAAGAAGAAUGGGAACCUUUUACAAUUUUUUUUAAAAAAACAACAACAAAAUGAACUGGACUCCUUGGCAGGUUUUGAAUAAACAUGCACAAACUUAUUGUUACUAAUAUAAUAGAUAAAUAAACUGAGGAUCUUUACAUUUUUAUAACAUGCAGAGAAUAAUGUGUGUUAAAAAAAUCAGAGAGAGGAGCUGAGGGAAGUCGGAGGGAGGAGAGAAGGGGAGGGGAAAAACAGGGUGAAAUAGAAGAUGAUUUGUUGGAAUAAUUUGUUAUGUGAAAGCAUUCAAUAAAAAAUUAUAAAAAAGGAAUUGCCUCUUAUUAUGAUUUAGCACCAGAGAGCGAAUUUUCCACGGCAAAAAAAUUUCCCAAUGCAAAAUGCAUUGCAGGGGGUUGGACUAGAUGGCCGUUGGGGGUCCCUUGCAACUCUAUGAUUCCAUGAAAGAAGCAGGGCAAAGGCACAACUGCUCACGUGUGCCCAGAAAUCAUGGGGAAAGUGGAAAACCACUCAGACCUGUGCUUUCUGGGUCAAGCGGAAGUGUGAAUGAGCUGUCAGACAAUAAUAUUUUCCUGGCACUGCCCAGAGAUGUUGUUGGUGAUUGAAGCUGGGAUUCCUGCAUGCAAAGCAUGUUGGAAGAUUUAGGGCAGGUAAAAUAAAGUCCUUCUUUGUGCAGCACAUACUAAGGAACUCUCUGCCACAGGAGGCAGUGAUGGCCACCAACUUCAAUGGCUUUAAAAGGGGAAUAAUAAUAAUAAUAAUAAUAAAAUAAAAUAAAAUGAUAAUAAUAAUUUAUUUAUACCUCACCCAUCAUCCCUAGCUAACAGGACCAGUGGUCAGGGAUGAUGGGAACUGUAGUCCCAAAACAGCUGGAGGGCCGAGUUUGGGGGUGCCUGAUCUACGCCUUCCUCUUUUUAAAAAACACACCAUGGCCCUGCAUGUUGAGCCUCUCCCGCUUUCCACAACUUCUCUACUCCAAGGCUCCUUCAACCUGAGUACAGUUUGUUUUGUCAGCCCUGGAGGAUGAGCCAGGCGCUUAUCAGAGCAGCGAAUGGGGCUGCUAAUUGCCUCUCACUGCAAAUAUCUCCUCCUGGCUUCAAAAGCUCAGGGAGGAGGAAAAGGGGAAAGCAGAAGGCAAUUUGAACCAGGAAGAGUGCUUUGCUCCAUAUAUUUUGUGGGAGGUUUUUUUUUGGGUGUGUGUGUGUGUGUGUGUGUUUUAAAGUUUGAUAACACAGUUCAUCCCCUAAAAAUGUAAAAAAUAUUCACCAUGGUUUUGCAAUGAAAAAGCAGCACUAAGGAAAAGUGAGGAGCUCUAGAUGGCAGCCAAUGACUUCUCUCUGCUUUCCGAUGGGUCUGGACAGCUGCACAGACCCCACUGAACAGGACCACUGUUUGUGCCUCCUGGGGAUCCCCCCUACGUGAGAAAAGUCACACCUUGGUGCGAAAUAGCAAGGCCGGCUCAAAGCACCUAGAGGAAUCCGACAGGUCUCCAAAGACAUCAAGCCUCCCAAAAAUGGAAAGACACACACACACACACACACACACACACACACACGAACAUAAGAAUCACCUGCUGGAUCAGGCCAGUGGUCCAUCUAGUCCAACAUCCUGUUGUCACAGUGGCUGACCAGAUGCCCAUUGUGGGAAACCUGCAAGCAGGAUUCGAACACAAUAGCCCUCUCCCCUCUUGGUUUCAGAAGCAUUGUGACAUAAAAAAAUUAAGGUCUUAUAUAUAUAUAAUAAAUGUACCAACCAAGCACAUACAUAGAUGUGUGGACCACAUGUCUGGACCAGCACAGGAAGACCGUCCUGAAACCAUUUUGACUCCCAAACUGACCAAAUGUUUUCUCUGCAAGGAGGGAGGGGGUGAGGGAAUUUUCCCAUUGUCUCGGGAAUUGGGGAAUCGCCAUCUCAAAGCAAUGGGCAGACUACCAGGAAAGGCAAUCGGAUAAGGCAUUAUCAGAUAACCUGGCAGACAAGAAAAACAAUAGCAUUCAAAUUUCUGUUGUAGACCGCCCUUUCUGUGAUGUAGGUAUGUGUCUGGGGGGUGGUCUUGAGCUACACCCCUUCUGUGAUGUAUGUAUGAUGUAUGGAGGGGUGGUCUUGAGCUCCAGGGCAGGCAAUUUAAAAUGUUUAUAUAGGGGCGGGCACACCUUUGUUCGGGGUCCUCCUCCUUCUCUUGCGUGUGAGGGGAGCACCCUGUUGCAACAGAUCAAUAAAGAUCAGGCUUACGAGCUGCUUUGCUUCUCAAUAUUCUCUGCUUGGCCUCUGUUAUUUUCUCCGACUGAUGGAGAACCUACAAAGGACUCUAUAAGGGCUCUUGUGUUCCCCAUAAGGGAAUAAGGGCAGAUUUUUGUUUAUUACAAUCACUUGCACCUGACUGUGGAAGCUGAGCUGAGCCAUCAGGGAUAGUAGACAAGGGUGAAAACAGGCUUUCUUUCUUUCUUUCUUUCUUUCUUUCUCUCUCUCUCUCUCUCUCUCUCUCUCUCUCUCUCUCUCUCUCGUCAGGCUGGGAGCCUCAAUGACUCUGGAGGCUUCACACAGGGCAAAAAACCUGCCUAGCCUGUCUCUCCCCCAAUAUAGCUACAGUUCUGCUUUCCUGUGGACCAGAUCCGUGAGGCCUUGUCAUCUGGGCAGCCCAGGACCUCCAGACACAUUGCCCAGGCUUGUGCCCCUGUAUGGGCAAUCUAUCCAGAAGAUAUUUGUAUUUCUGAGGAGUUAGCGAUCUAACUCGGUUGCCCUCUUCCUGCCACCUUGUUCCUUCCUUUUCCUAUAUUUUGUUAAGCUCUUUGAUGGCUGAGAACAGCCAUUAAUGUCCUAGUCCUAAUCUGUUGGAAGGAAGUGGAUAUUGGUGGGUACAUUCUUUUGAUGCUGGACAUUGUUUGAAGAAAGUGAGGCAUUGGGAGAGGGUGGCUAAUAAAUAAUUUGCACGUAGCUAGUAGCACAUAGCCAGCCAGGCAAACUACGCAGGCUAACAGGCUAUCUACCUAGAAAUCAGAUGAUCGAUCGAGGGUCGUGCAAACCAAAGGCUACCUGGGGGAGUCACUUUGCCGCAUCUUGAGGGCUUCCAAGUAGCAAAUCGAAGCGCUUGCUUGGUAAUGUAUAUAAUGCUUUAAUCUUUAAUCUUCUCACUCACUUAUGUUUUGUAUUGCCUCUGAAUCUCAUCUGAGAAGAACCACCUGGCAUUUGGCAAGAGAGCCCCAGAGUCGUUACUUUGGUGCUGCUAAAAACAACGCAGGAGGCAGCAGUUAUGUGUUACCGGUCUCUGCAGCCACAGCAGGCGCUGUGAUUCUCCACCGGUUUGAUUUCACUCCUGGAGGCUGUGGGAAUGUUCAGGGAGGCAGGAGAUGAUACAUUGUUUAUUAAUAUCCUUCCUAACUUGCGCUAGCAAGUUCCUUUAUUUAGCAGAGUUUACAUUCCCCUUUUUACAUGCUCAGCAGAUAGCUGGUUGCAGGCUUGUGUGAGCCUCUCACUAUUGUACAAUUCAACCUAAGAUAGAUUGAAUUGUACAUUCCUGGUAAGUUCCCUUGAAUCCCUCUUAAAAGAAUAAAGAUGCCACAAGCUUAUUCAAAGUCAAUAAAAGAAGUGUACUCACAUCAGUUCAAAGUUGGAUUCCUGAAAGCAGACUUAGUUACAAAUAUGUACAUGUGGAUCUACACCAUAUUGAGGAAUAAUCCCAGUGCUUCUGCUAGCUGAGAGCUAACAGAGCAGUCCUAGCUAGAAGCUGGUCGAGCGAAGAAGAAGGAAACAGAGAGAGGUGUGCUGCGUGACUCGUCCUUUUGUUACCUGGACAGUUUAGGUCACGCCCACCUUCUAUCACAUGCAAAAGGAAGGAUGCUCCAGCCAGGAGGAACAAGGAAGUUUCGACUGGCUGGACCAAACAUCCCCUCUAGGAAAACGAGGAAUGUUGUAUUUGACUGCUCCCAGUGGAUUACAUCCCACAGAGGCCCACUCCAUUGUCUCUUGAGACAGAUGGAUGCCAACCGCAAAAAGGUGGUGUAGUGGUUAGCGUGUUGGACUUGGACCUGGGAGACCAGGGUUCAAAUCCCCACUCAUCCAUGGGCAGAUGAAACUUAUGGACUAUAUGGAACUGGCGGAAAUGACUGGUAGAAUCCGUGACCAGGGAGAAGAGUCGGUGGAGGAAGAUUGGAAGAAAUUCAAAGACUAUCUUCAGAAACAUUGCAAAAUUAAAGAAUGUUAGAGUGAUGUUGGACUGAGAAUAAGCGGUUUCCAGCUGUACAGGUUAAAGUUGAUGAUAGACUAAGAUUAAGAUUAGGAUUAAAAAUGUUUAAAGAAAUGGAAAUUUGACAAUUAAGAGGGAAAAUUUUAAGGUUAUAUUAUAUUAUACUAAGAUUAAAGAUCAGGUUUAAAGAAGUUGAAGUUAUAUAUUACAAUAUUAUAUUAAAGUUAAAGAUUGGGAUUAAAAAAGUUGAAAAGAAAUUGCUGGACAAACGAUUUGGAUUGGAAUACAAAAGAGGGAGGUAUGAGGAAGUCCAGAAAAUAAGUAAAUUUAAAAACGGAAAUGGAAAAGAGAUAUUGUUUUUAAUUGUUAUGUUGUUGUUUUAUUAUUAUUAUUAUUAUUGUUGUUGUUGUUGUUGUUGUUGAUUCUUGUUUUUUGUGUCUUUUUUGUUUUCUCCUUGAGAUUUGUAUUGUGUAUUUGUGUAUCUUUUUUGAUGUUUUUCUUUCUUUGUUUGUUGUUCAAUUUUUGAUUGAAACUUUAAUAAAAAUUAUUAAAAAACCAAAAAAAAAACCAAAUCCCCACUCAUCCAUGAAGCUUGCUGGGUGUGAAGCUCGUUGGGCUAGCUACUGCCUCUCAGCCUGCCCUACCUUUCAGGGUUGUGGGGAGGAUAAAACAGAGGGGCAGAACCACGAAAAGACACCUCGAGCUCCUUGGAGAAAAGGGUUGGAUAUAAAUGAGGUGAAUAAAUAAGAUAAAUAAAUUGUGAAUUUGACAGAAUUGUUGAGGAGAGGUCGAAGAGGUUAACGGCUGGUGUACAUUGCCCCCCUUGGCUGAAGCUGGACAUAUGCUUCAGGGCAUAUCUCUGAGGCUGUUUAGCCAGACAGAGGAGACUUGGGGGGCAGGGAAGUUUAAAGAGGGUCGAUUUAAAUGACCCCCCCCCCAUGGCUGAACAGGCGCCUGUAAGCAUGCAACAGUCCCCAUGGCAACUCCUUGCAAGGUGGGUGUUCUCUUCCUGUCAGCCAAGUACUCCAUCCUGCCACAUUCAUCCAGAACGACUCAAUAAUUUGUAAUUUCCUAGCAACGCCUUAACUACCUUCAGACAAUGCUGGGGAGUUUUCUUCCUCCUCCCUUAACCUGCCACUCUCCUCUUCCCAAAGGUUUUGGGGUUUGAGACGGGUGAGAAGGUGGGAUCUUUUGGUCCCUCCCAAGCUGCACCCAACCCAACACUCCCUGAAUUCUCAGAUCCCUUUCAGCUUUGAUGUCCAAUGCGGAUAUUUCAGUGCCAAAGGGAUGAUCUCACUUUUCUGAUUCCCGUCCAAUUUGCUUUCCACCAAGAAGUGUGGGAAGCUGGAUGGGAGAUUCAGAACGGGUUGGGUCUCUCCUAACAUGCAGAUUGUGGUAUGAAACUUCAACUAACGUUUUAUUCAUAUUUCUUUAUUAAAUUUGUACACCCCCCCCCCCUUCAUCCGAAGAUCUCAGGACAGAGAUAUACUGGCCUAAUAUACUGGCACUGUUAACAAGUGCCACAUAACACCCGCGUUUGUUAAAAUAAAAAUAAAAUCACUCUUUUAGCAAAGUGGCACAUACACAUUAAACCAUAGGUGCUGGCUCCCUGGGGCCCUGGGUGCCCACAGAAUUCCCCAUGAAGGGGCCAGGCACCCACAAAUUUUGGCACCAGGGCUACAUGACACCUAUGGCCCCGGGCACCCACAGUCACAGGGCCAAGUUGGCACUCCUGCAUUGAACAUAAGAAUCUGCCGGAUGAGGCCAAUGGCAAGAGCAAUUAUCGCCCCCAGCAACCAGUGUUCAGAAGCCUUGCUGCCUGACCCCCAGUGCUGGAUUCACGUAUAAGCUAAAUAAGCUGUAGCUUAGGGCCUGACUCACCCGAAGUUCCCCCCAAAAAAUUAAAGGAGAAAAAACUGGAUGUACAUUUCCAAAAUGUAAGAUAAAAAACAAAUAAGAUAAAACCGACAUACAGCAACACAGGGUGAGCUCCCGUUGCUCGGUCCCUGCUCCUGCCAACCUAGCAGUUCGAAAGCACGUCAAAGUGCAAGUAGAUAAAUAGGUACCGCUCUGGCGGGAAGGUAAACGGCGUUUCCCUGUGCUGCUCUGGGUUCGCCAGAAGCGGCUUAGUCAUGCUGGCCACAUGACCCGGAAGCUGUACUCCAGCUCCCUCGGCCAAUAAAGCAAGAUGAACGCCGCAAUCCCAGAGUCGGUCACAACUGGACCGAAUGGUCAGGGGUCCCUUUACCUUUACCUUUACCUUUACCUUUACCUUUACCUUUACAUACAGCAACAGUGCUUUGUGUUGUGUAGGCUCCUAUGAUAUAAGUCAUGGGCCCCGCCUGCUAGCCUGCUCCCUAAAAUAUCACUGCUUUGCUCCUUUCUAUAAACAGGGUGCCUACAUUCUGCAUGGACUGGUUGCAUGGCAACACGUGCAAAUUGCUUUAGAUACCUACUAGGUCCAUAAAUUACCAUCUAGCAUAUAUUCAACAGAAAAAACAGUGACCAUUUGUUGUUGACAAAGGACAGCUGGACAUAGAAAGGGCCCCAUUACCUUCAGUAGCUUAGGGCCUCAUCAAACCUAAAUCUCUAUAGGACACGCUUUUCCCCCUCCAAAUAUUAAAGGGAAAUGUGUGUGCGUCCUAUGGAGUGAAUGUAGGCUCCUUGGCUUCAGCGAUAGCAACGUGAAGCCUCUGAAGGGCAGAGGGUGCGCACCGACCCCUCUCACUAUCCAGGCUUCAGGGAUAGCCGCCUGAAGCCUUCGGAGCGCAGCACAAGUUCCCGCUGCGCUCCAAAGGCUUCAGGGAUCUUUGAGGCUGGCGGUGGGGGAAAGCAGCGUUUCCCCCCACCCCCAGCUCCACAAGCUUCUCCGUUUCUCCUGCCGCUUCGCUGAAGGGGCGCUGAGCAGAGAGGGGGAGAAUUUUUUUUCUUGUUGUCUCCCUCUAAAACAAGGUGCGUCCUAUGGUCCGGUGCAUCCUAUAGAGAGAAAAAUACGGUAAAUCUGGUCCUGCCGCCCUGUCCCGCCCCGCCCUGCCCCCACCUCUGGCCUGGAAGAGAUCCUGUAUUUCAGCAUUUACCCCAAUGCUAGACGUUCCCCAACUUUUUCUGGCAACUGCACACUUGGUUCAAUAAACAUAUCCUCAAUGCCCCCUACCCUAUCGGAGUAAUUUUAAUUUGUUUUAGCGUUUUAACUUUUGUAUGUUUUAAAGUAUGGUUGUGGUUUUUCUACUUCUCAGUUUUAUUGUUUUAUCUUUCAAAAAAAUCGCUUGGAGGUGUCGUUGCUGUUGUUUUUAUAAUCAAGCAAGUGGCACAUAAAUUUUCAUGAAAUAAAUAAAUAACUCAGAACAGCGAUCCGCACAACCCGUUCAGGAAUAUAGUAACAUAAUAAAAUUCAAAACAGCAAUAAUUAAUUGCUCCCUUAUUCAAAACCCGAUUUGUAGGUAUAAGUUCUCAGAAAAAGUAAUUUGGAUAAAUAAAUUUAUGCUCUGAUCUGAUCUUGUAGUUUUUUUUAAAAAAAAAAGGUAUAUGCAGCAAAGAGUAUUGCAUGAAAAAUAUUUUUACGCAUUCUUGCGUAAUUUAUAGCUUGAAACAUUCAUAUAAAACUACUUACCGAACCUUCAUCUGUACAGAGAUGUACAGUAACUAAUUUAUACAACAUUGAGCAAGGCAACAGCUUUGAAAGUAAGAAGAGCAGUAAAAGUUUAAAUAAGGAAGAUGUUUGGCUCUGGGCUCUAGGCUGGUGAAUGGAAAAUAAUUGAUCAGUGCACUUGGAGGAAGCCAUUUCCAGUGCCUCCCCCCGCUGCCUCCUUGCCUCUAAGGCAGCCAUAGGCAAACUCUGCCCUCCAGAUGUUUUGGGACUACAACUCCCAUCAUCCCUAGCUAACAGGACCAGCAGUCAGGGAUGAUGGGAACUGUAAUCCCAAAACAGUUGGAGGGCCGAGUUUGCCUAUGCCUGCUCUAAGGGCCCCCCAGGUGAUGCCACUGUACCCCCAGGGGUGGGACCCCCCCACACACACACACUUUGGGAACGGAGACACACUGAAGUUUGGGCCCCCGACUUCUGAGCAACUGCAGAGGCUUUGUGGAAACUAAGCUCUUCCAGUUUGAUCAUGGCAUCCCCAACCGGCAAAGCGACCAAGGUUGCGGUGACCAGUUGAGACGGCCACCAGUUCCUCAUUUGUCUCUCCUUAAGCAGCAUCUUAAAAAGCAGAGACAUCACCUUGCCAACAAAGGUCCGUCUAGUUAAAGCUCUGGUUUUCCCAGUAGUGAUGUAUGGAAGUGAGAGCUGGACCAUAAAGAAGGCUGAUCAUUGAAGAAUUGAUGCUUUUGAAUUAUGGUGCUGGAAGAGACUCUUGAGAGAGUCCCAUGGACUGCAAGAAGAAGAAGAGGAGUUUGGACUUGAUACCCCACCUUUCACUCCCUUUAAGGAGUCUCAAAGCGGCUAACAAUCUCCUUUCCUUUCCUCCCCCACAACAAACACUCUGUGAGGUGAGUGGGGCUGAGAGACUUCAAAGAAGUGUGACUGGCCCAAGGUCACCCAGCAGCUGCAUGUGGAGGAGAGGAGACGCAAACCCGGUUCCCCAGAUUACGAGACUACCGCUCUUAACCACUACACCACACUGGCUAGCAAGAAGAUCAGACCGAUCCAUUCUGAAGGAAAUCAGCCCUGAGUGCUCACUGGAAGGACAGAUCCUGAAGCUGAGGCUCCAAGACUUUGGCCACCUCAUGAGAAGAGAAGACUCCCUGGAGAAGACCCUGAUGUUGGGAAAGAUGGAGGGCACAAGGAGAAGGGGACAGCAAAGGACGAGAUAGUUGGACAGUGUUGUCGAAGCUACGAACAUGAGUUUGACCAAACUGCGGGAGGCAGUGGAAGACAGGAGUGCCUGGCGUGCUCUGGUCCAGGGGGUCACGACUAAACGACUAAACAACAACAACGCACCAUUUCCUCUCAUGACUCUUCAGGCUGGUGGUGAUAAAUGCAAGGGGAAGGGCGGCCAGGAGCCUGUGACUUCAUACAAUGACAUGGAAAGCUUGGUCUCUUCCUGGCUUCCCAGAAAUGGGUGCGUGCGGUGACCCCACAUACUGUAAAGGGAGAUACGGAGCCUUUGCCUGACACAGGAAAUCAGGAAGGACCUACACAACACACACACACACCCCAAAACCCCAAUGGCUCCCAGACCAGCUUUGAUCCGAUUUGAAAACGUAAGGAACACAGAGGCAGGCAUGCCUCCAGACCCUCCAACAUUUCUCCGAUGAAAACAGGGGCAUUCUAUUCUGCACCAGGAAGCUUCUCCCAUGUUUGUAUAUAAAAAAUUUUUUAUUGAAUUUUCUGUCUUACAUUUGAGAACAGGCAUCCCCAAACUCGGCCCUCCCGAUGUUUUAGGACUACAAUUCCCAUCAUCCCUAGCUAACAGGACCAGUGGUCAGGGAUGAUGGGAAUUGUAGUCCCAAAACAUCUGGAGGGCCGAGUUUGGGGAUGCCUGUUUUAGAAUAUUCAUUUAAGCAUCCAAAGAAUAUCAACAACUUCCUUUCUUCUCUUUCCAUGGUUCAUUUUACAUAACAUAAAUCCCUGCAUAUUUUACAGAAACUAUACCACUCAAUAUUCCAUUAUUACAUCCAUCACAACUUAUUUAUACCGCUGAAUUUAUCUUAACGCUGCCAGCAUUUUCAGCUGUACACAGUUAUUUCCUAUAUAUUUUCCAAUCUUCUCUAAACUUACGCUCUUCUUGUUCUCUCAUUCUAUAUGUUAGGUCUGCAAGUUUUGCAUACUCUGUCAGCUUAAGUUGCCAUUCUUCUUUGCCUGGGACCUCGCUCGUUUUCCAUUUUUGGGCUAACAAAACACGGGCCGCAGUGGUGGCAUACAUAAAUAACCUGUUUUGACACCUGGGAAUUUCAGUCUGAAUUAUCCCCAACAGAAAGGACUCUCAGUUUUGGGGGGAAAAGUAAUUUUAAACAUUCCCCCCCAAGUCAUUAUGGAUCAUCGCUUAUCGCUUCUCCUGCUUUUGAUCUUGCCGCACACAUAGAAGUCAAGUAUACAUCAAGAUCGGUCACCUUGAGCCAAGGACAACCUCUCCACCAAACCUACCUUACAGGAUUGUUGUAAAGGAAAAAAAAUGUAUGAAAGAAGGAUCGUGUACAACACCUUCCACAGAUAAAUGGAAUGAAAUGUAGCAGUAAGCUGCCUUGCAUGCCUGCCAGGGAAAAGGUGGGUAGUAAUAAUAAUAAUAAUAAUAAUAAUAAUAAUAAUAAUGGAAACUGUGAGAAUGAUGAGGAACAUAGCAGAGCAGGAUUUAAGGUAAAGGUAAAGGGGCCCCUGACCAUUAGGUCCAGUCGUGACCGACUCUGGGGCUGCGGUGCUCAUCUCACUUUACUGGCCAAGGGAACCGAAGUUUGUCCGCAGACAGUUUUUCCGGGUCAUGUGGCCAGCAUGACUAAGCCGCUUCUGGCGAACCAGAGCAGUGCACAGAAACAGAGCGAACCAGAGCAGUGCACGGAAACAGAGCCUAGGACUUGCCGAUCAGAAGGUCGGCAGUUGGAAUCUCUGUGACGAGGUGAGCUCCCAUUGUUCUGCCCCAGCUCCUGCCCACCUAGCAGUUCGAAAGCACAUCAAAGUGCAAGUAGAUAAAUAGGUACCUCUCUGGCGGGAAGGUAAACGACGUUUCCGUGCACUGCUCUGGUUCGCCAGAAGCGGCUUAGUCCUGCUGGCCACAUGACCCGGAAGCUGCACGCCGGCUCCCUCGGCCAGUAAAGCGAGAUGAGCACCUCAACCCCAGAGUUGGCCACGACUGGACUUAAUGGUCAGGGGUCCCUUUACCUUUACCUUUAAAAAGGCUUAGGACUGCAGUGUAAGGCUACACAGUCUUUACUGGGUUACCUGGGAGUAAGCUCAACUGAAUACAGUGGGACUUACUUCUCAGUAGACAGUGUCAGGCUCCACUUACAAUAAAGGAAUAAACACUCCAUGCACUUCCUAAGAGAUGGCUGGCUGCGGAAGAAUUUCAAUGAGAGGAUUUAAAGUGGAUUGCUGACGUUUCCCUUCAAAAUUAUAGGAAGGACUUCUUCUGCCAGCGUCACCAUUUCCUCCAUUUGGUGCAGGGAUUUUAUGUUCAGGAUAAACAGGACUCCGGUCUUGCACCUACAAACGCACACUUUUCAUUGUUCUCUGAGACACGGAGGGGAGGGGAAAGGAAAAGCGGGACAUUCCAGGAUCAAAUCAGAAACCGGGACGGCUUCCGUAAUUCCGGGACUGUCCCUGUAUGCUGAACAUACAGCAGGCAACUUGGAAGCGUAUUCAGCCAUACUGGUACGUAGCAUAAGACCAUGUUAGGAUAUUUUCAAGGAGGGUCUGAUAUGGUUUCAAUUGGAUGUGGGACCGUGUGUCAAAAAAUACGUUAGAAAAACAGUUUGGUUUGAAAAUACGUUUUUAAAAGUUAGAUAUCUGGGAAUCUGGCUCACAGUAAGAAAUCUCAACUUCUUUGAAAAUAAUUAUGUUAAACUGUGAAAAGAGAUUAAAAAAAAAGUCGGAGAUCUGGGAGAGAGAAUGAAGCAGUCCUUGCUUGGCAAAAUCUCAGCCACCAAAAUGAAUCUACUGCCCAAGAAAAAUCUACUGAAUUAUUAUAAAUAAUUCAGGCUGCUUCAAAAAAUGGAAGGAGGAUAUUUCCUAUUUCAUCUGGCAGGGGGGAAAGCCAAGAAUUAAACAUAAAAUUGUGAUAGACAUAAAUGGAAAAGGAGGCUUCGCCCUGCCUGACCUGCAAAUGUAUUAUGAGGCAGCCUGCUUGUGCUGGUUAAGAGAAUGGAUUACAUUGGAUAAUGCACACAUUCUGGACCUGGAGAGUCAUGACUUAAAAUCUGGCUGGCAUUUGUUGAGAUUCGUACAUUUCAGGGGGUUAGAGGACCCUUGCGGUCCCUUUCCAACUCUUCAACUCUAUGAUUCCAGAAACCUGCUGAAUCAGGUCAAAGGUCCACCUGGUCCAGCCUCCUGUACUCACAGUGAUGGAGGAACAAAUGCGCACAGGAAACCCACAAGCAGGAUCUGAGCACAAGAGCAACUCUCCUUCCUGCAGCUUCCAGAAGCUGGUAUUCAGAAGCAUCUCUGCCUCCAGCUGUGGAGUCAGUGUGUUCACCAUGGCUGGUGGCAAGAUAGCCCUCUCCUCCUCCAUAAUGUUGUCUAAUCCUCUCUCAAAGCCAUCCAGGGUCAUGGCCAUCCCAGCUUCCUGUGGGAGGGAGUUCCGCAGUUUAACUACAUGCUGCAUGAAGAAGGACUUGUUUUCUCUGCCCGGAACCUUCCAACUUUUAGCUUCCUUUCGGGGGGUAUCUGGCUGGCCACUGUGAGAACAGGAUGCUGGACUAGAUGGACCUCCUUCGGCCCGAUCCAUCUUCAUAGCUUUUGUGGAUUUAAGUUCCUAAGCCAAGACAUAUGGUCUCUCUCCAGAGUAUUUAUUAAGUUUAGAAAGGGGAAGGGCCAAGAACAUAAUCAAAGAAAGACUCAGGGACAUUGAAACCCAAAAUGACUUUAACCAACUUCCGAUAACUUAUAAACUUCUAUACAAUACUCAAAGGCCCCAUCUAGCAAACUAUCUCAAAGUUCUAGACAACGCUAAACACCGAUGGGCAUUUUCCAGGGCCCGCUUUAACGCUCUCCCUUCAGCUCUUCUAGAGGGAAGAUACAAUAAAAUACCGAUCGAACAAAGAUUAUGUCCCUGUAACAGCAAUGAAAUCGAAACCAUUGGGCAUGUCAUCUUAUACUGCCCAUUAUAUCGAGACUCAAGAAAAGAGCUGAUCGAACCGAUUCUGAGGAAAAUACCUCGUAGUACAGACGACACCUAUAUCAGACACCUCUUAGCUGACAAAGAGCCCGAAAUUAACAGGUCCGUGGCAAAGUACUGUUACAUUGCAACAAGAAUAAGACGAGCAAUGAUGUCUACAAAGGAGUUCAAACUGUAAACACCGAAGGAACGAUAAUAAACAGUAGCGACUCCUGAAUUGAAUUUUAAAAACUUAAAACUCGCAACCUGGUCAUAAAUAUAAGCACCAAUUCUGUGAACUGGCCAUAUUUUUACUGCUACUUGUAGCACAAUACUACUUUUAAUGUCAUAUUUUAUGAAUUGCUUCCUGGUCAUUGACCGUAUUAAAGAUAUUUGAUUUGAUUUGGUUCCUAAGUCAAGUGCAGAUGCACUAAGACAGCCUUUCUCAAACCUGUGGGUCCCCAGAUGUUGUUGGACUACAACUCCCAUCACCCCUAGCUAGCAAGGCCAGAGCUCAGGGAUGAUGGGAGCUGCAGUCCAAAAACAUCUGGGCACCCAGAGGUUGAGAACCACUGCACUAAGAUAACCAGGCAGCCACCCGCACAGCUGUUUUACACCUUGCAGCUGCCGAGUCCUGUUCCAAACUGUUGUAAAACCUUGCGGAGGUCAGUUACGUUUUUCUAGCAUAUCAUCAACCCAGAAAACAAACAUCCUCUGGCUUUUAAAUUGGCAGGAGACAGAUUACUGUUCAGUCAGCAAAUACAGCUGAUACAAAACAAGGGUGUGGGAGGGGAGCAGGGAGGAACUGGUUCCGGCUCCUGAAUGAACCUUGUCGCCCCAGAGCGCUCCCAGAUUCUCACUGCUUGCGGGUGGAUUCGGCGACCGCAAACCAGAAAAUUCAGUUUGUGCAAUUAUUCCCAACCGAGUCACAGAGCUGUAGAGCUGGAAGGGAAUUGUGGAGCUGGAAUCUUGAGCAGUGCUUCCUGCGUUGCAGGGGGUUGACUAGAUGGCCCUUGUGUGCCCCUUUCAGCUCUACAAUUCUACGAGUCGAAGGCUGGAAGAGCGCCUCUGUUUUCAAGAGCCUGAAAUUAAAGUCUGCAGCCUGAAAUUAUAGUCUAUGCCAUGGGUAGGCAAACUAAGGCCUGGGGCCCGGAUCCGGCCCAAUCGCCUUCUAAAUCCGGCCCACGGAUGGUCCAGGAAUCAGUGUGUUUUUGCAUGAGUAGAAUGUGUCCUUUUAUUUAAAAUGCAUCUCUGGGUUAUUUGUGGGGCACAGGAAUUCAUUCCUUUUUUUCCCUUCAAAAUAUAGUCCGGCCCCCCACAAGUUCUGAGGGACAGUGGACUGGACCCCUGCUGAAAAAGUUUGCUGACCCCUGGUCUAUACUAUUCUAAUGAUUGUUGAAUAUUACAUUUUUUAAUGUAAGUUGCUUGUUUUAAAGUUAUGUUUUAUUAUCACAUUUUUGUAUUGCAUUGAUUGUUAUAAGAUGUACAUUUUUUGUUUCUUCAGCUUGUAAACCGCCUUGAGUGUUGUAAGGUAGAAAGAUGGUAUACAAAUUAAAAGUGAUGAUGAUGAUGAUGAUGGAUGCUUUCGGCAUCUGCACAGCUGAAAGGCAGGCUUCAACUUUGCAAGCUAAAAAAAUGGUUUUUUCUAUAGAGGUUUUGUGUUUGUGUGUGCGUGUGCAAGGACAAGAAGCCUUUCCUCUCAGCUGCCUGCACCUCUGUAAGCUGUGCUCCUCUCCCUGGGAUGAAAAUCAAACCCAGGAGUCCUGCUGCCAUGCCUGCUCUUCACACACUUCUGCAUAGCAGGGACUAGAUGACCUUUGGUGGCCCCUUUCAAUUCUAUGAUCUGCUGCUAGGACCAUCCUCACCAUCCCUUAACAAGAAAAACCUCCUCCUCCUUGCUAGGCACCAUAUUGGCAGAAGGGCUAAUUACCGAGGCAGGCGGCAAUUCACCACGAUCAUUAGAUCUGCUAAGGAAGCGCAUUUGUAACAAUCAUGUGCAGAAGGAGACGGCUCACAUUUCAGUUAGUCAUGCCGCAGUAGGACGCCGUUUCACUGAAGAGGGGCUGCCUGCAGAUCAGGUCACAACUGUAGAGAUGGGAGGGACCCAAAGGGUCUCCUCCCCUUUGCAUCCAUCAUGGGUUUGGCGGACCGUUCACAAGUGCAGCUCAAACCUGCAGAGGAUUCACUUUGAGCCCUGGAGGUUUGCACAUAUGGGUGGAGAACAGCCUUUAAGAAAGGUGUCAUGGGUUUUGAAGACACCCGCUCAGGACAAAAGGGAGAAACACGCUAGGAGGAAGACACACUUGGCAAACCCUCACCAUGAUCAACUCCUGCCCAGAAACCAAUGUCCCCACUGUGGAAGGACAUGUGGAUCCAGAAUUGGCCUCCACAGUCACUUACAGACUUACUGUUAAGACCGUGUUCAUGGAAGACAAUCUUAUUCGGCUAUGAGAGAUCACCUAAGAAGAAGAGAAGAAGUUGUAUGGGGCAAGAGGAGCUCAUCUAAGCCCACAAGGAGGAGACAGUCCAUCGAUUCCGCACCAAUCUAUGAGGACCAGUUGAUAAUCAUGAGCCAGUAGUCAAGAAUGAUGCAGCGGAUCAGAUGGCAAUUGAUCAGAUAUGGGUUUCUAGUGAAAUAACCACAAGAAUAAUAAAGACUGAGAUUCAGCCUAAAGUUCUAUCAGACCACAAUGCGGUUAAAGCUAUUUUAAGAGGAAAUGAAGAAAAAUCUUUUCGGUGGAGAUUAAAUGAAAGUCUUUUAGAUGAUCAGAAGAUUGUGGACAGAGCUCAGAAAUGUUUAAUGGACUAUUUUGUAAAUAAUGUUAACAAAGGAACAAAGAUGAGUACGGUUUGGGAUGCGAGCAAAACUGUUAUGAGAGGAUUCUUCAUUCAACAAAAUGCAAUAAAAAAUAGAAUGAGAGAAAAAGGGAAAAAAGAAAUUUUAAGACAAAUAAUGGAGAAUGAAAAAAAAUUAACUAUAAGACCCAAGGAUGAAAAGGUCAAGCCAAGUAUAAAAAUGCUCCAGACGCAAUUUGCGAUGAUAAUCAAUAAAGAAGUAGAAUGGAAUAUAAGAAGAAUGAAACAAAAGAAUUUUGAAUUUGCAAAUAAAUCAGGGAAAUGGUUAGCGUGGCAAAUUAAAAAAAGGAAAGAACAGAACACAAUUAAUAAAAUCAAAAUAGAAGAUCAAGAGACUGAGAAUCCGAAAGGAAUAAGGAAAGGUUUUGUGGACUUUUACCGAGAUCUAUAUAAAAGAAAAGAGAACUCAACAUAAAGACAAUGGAGGAGUAUUUAAUGAAGAAAAAGGUGCAAAAAAUAUCAAAGAGUAAUAAAAUUAAAUUGAAUGAACCAAUAGAAUUAGAAGAAAUUCAAAUGGCAAUAAAGGAUUUGAAGAGUGGGAAGUCGCCGGGACCGGAUGGAUUCAGCGCAAGAUACUAUAAAGAAAUGAAACACACUCUACUUGUACCAUUGAAAGAAGUAAUGAAUAACAUAUUGAAAGAAGGAGAAAUACCUGAGACCUGGAAAGAAGCAUAUAUAACGUUUAUUCCCAAACAAGACUCUGAUUUAACGCAGGUUAAAAAUUACAGGCCAAUUUCAUUAUUGAAUAACGACUAUAAAAUGUUUGCAAAUAUUCUAGCAAAUAGGAUGAAAAAGGUAUUAAAGGAAAUGAUUCAUAAAGAUCAAACAGGUUUCCUUCCUGGUAGGCAGAUGAAAGAUAACAUAAGAAAUAUAAUUAACAUAAUAGAGUAUCUGUCAAACAGGAAAGAUAAACAAGCGAUGUUGAUAUUUGUGGACGCUGAGAAGGCCUUUGAUAAUAUCUCUUGGGAAUUUAUGUUGAAGAAUUUGAAAUAUAUGGAUAUGGGUCAAUCUUUCCUGAGUGGUAUAAAGGCAAUAUAUUCGGAGCAGAGAGCAAAAUUAAUUGUUAACAAUGUUAUAACAGAAAAUAACAGAAAAUAUUGCCAUAACUAAGGGUACAAGACAAGGGUGUCCUUUAUGUCCGUUAUUAUUCAUUUCGGUCCUAGAGGUCUUCCUAAGAACACUAAGAAAUAAUGAAAAAAUAAAAGGUGUGACACUUGGUUGUAAUGAAUACAAGGUCAAAGCCUUUGCCGAUGACUUGGUUAUAACUAUAGAGUGUCAAAGAGGUGUUAGAAGAGAUAGAACAUUUUGGUCAGGUGUCCGGCUUUAAGUUAAAUAGGAAAAAAACUAAAAUAAUUGCUAAGAAUAUGGAUCAAGAGACAAUAGAAAAAAAUACAGCAACAAACAGAGAUGAAUGUGGUUAAGAAAGUUAAGUAUUUAGGGAUUACGUUAACUCCCAGGAGUAUUGACCUGUUUCAAAACAACUAUGUACCAAUAUGGAAUAAAAUUAAUCGGGACCUAGAGGUGUGGGGAAGAAUGAAACUAUCAUUAUGGGGAAGAAUUGCAACGAUAAAGAUGAGCGUGCUACCGAAAAUGUUGUUUUUGUUUCAAACAAUUCCAAUAAUUAAAGGUGUGACAAUAUUCAAAGAAUGGCAAAGAAUAACGUCAAGAUAUAUCUGGCAGGGCAAGAAACCAAGAAUAAAAUUUAAGAUAUUAACAGAUGCAAAAGAUAGAGGAGGCUUUGCCCUGCCAGAUUUAAAGUUAUAUUAUGAAGCUUCGUGUCUUUGCUGGGUGAAAGAAUGGAUAAAGUUAGAAAACACAGAAUUGUUGGAUUUAGAAGGUUAUGAUAAUAGAUUCGGUUGGCACGCGUAUUUAUGGUGUGAAAAGAAUAGAGUGCAUAAAGGUUUUGAAAACCACAUCUUUAGAGGAUCGUUGAUUGAAGUCUGGAAUAGGUAUAAAAAUUUAUUAGAGUUUAAAACUCCAUAUUGGUUAUCACCACUGGAGAUAAUGAGUGUGAAAAAGAUCAAUAUGACAGGGAGAUGGAUUACAUAUGAGAAUUUGAUAAUCAAAGAAGGUAAUAAAUGGAAAUUGAAACCAUAUGAAGAAGUCAAAGAAAAUGUGAAUGAUUGGUUGCACUAUUUUCAGUUGAAUGCAAUGUUCAAAAAAGAGAUGUCAGAAAGAGGUUUUCAGGAAAAGAAAUCUAGGUUUCAUCAAGAAAUCUUGAAUAGUGAUGUUAAAAUUUUAUCAAAAAUGUAUAAAUUAUUACUUGAGUGGCAUACAAAGGACGAAGAAGUAAAAUCAGUUAUGAUUCAGUGGGCCAAAGAUUUUGGUUAUAAUAUACAAUUUGAUGAGUGGAUAAAAUUGUGGAAAGAAGGAAUGAAAUUCACUGCAUGUACUACAAUAAAAGAAAAUGUUAUGAAAAUGAUAUAUAGAUGGUAUGUAACACCAGUGAAACUUGGUAAGAUGUAUAAAGUCAGUAAUAAAUGUUGGAAAUGUCAGGAAAAAGAAGGAACAUUUUAUCACAUGUGGUGGGAGUGUAAGAAAGUGAAAGGUUUCUGGGAAAUGAUUUAUAAUGAGAUGAAGAAAAUGUUGAAAUAUACUUUUGUUAAGAAACCAGAAGCAUUUUUAUUAGGAAUAUUAGGGAAUGAAAUUAAAAAGAAGGAUGUGAAGUUAUUUAGGUAUGUAGUGACAGCAGCUAGAAUUUUGAUGGCCCAGAAAUUGAAACAGGAAGAAAUGCCGACGAGGGAAGAAUGGAGAAUGAAAUUGAUGGAAUAUGCAGAAAUGGACAAAUUAACGGGGAAAAUUCUGAAACCAACGCGAUCAGAGAUUCACCGAGGACUGGAAUAAAUUUACAGAGUAUAUAAAAAAUGUAUGUGAGGAGCAAUUAACGCUUGUUGGCUUUCAAGAAGCUCUGUGAAAACGAUUGAUAGAAAUGUUGCUUAAAAGAUAUGAUAAGAUUAAGAUUGUUAAAGCGCAAUAUAAAUUUAAGAAAUGUGAGUAAUUGUGAUAAUAUGGAAAAUUGUCAGAUAGGCUGAGGGAAGUCUAAAAGAUGUAUAUGUUAGAAGUGGAUGUUAAACAUGGAUGGAAUGUAUAUUGGAAAUUGAAUAAAAAUUAAUUAUAUAUAUAAAAAAAGAAUGAUGCAGCGGUUGGAGGUUUGUUUAUUCACUCAUUGGCAAGAUCUCUUAUCUGACCUUUGCCAUAAUGUCCCCAGAGUGGGAUACCAAUAUGUGAUAUAAGGAUCACAGAAUUGUAGAGUUGGGAGGGACCUGAGGAUAAUCUCCUCCAAUCCCCUUCAAUGCAGAAAACUCAGCUAAAGCAUCCAUGACAGAUGGCUCCCCAACCUCUCCUUAAAAACCUCCGAGGAAGGAGAGUCCGCCUCCUCCUGAGGGAGACCGUUCCACUGUCCAGCAGGAAAACUGUUCCAACUGUUAUGUACUGAGCUGAAUCCUAGAACAAUAGGAUCCAGAAUGCAGCAGUCCGAUUGGUCCGCAGGAGCCACCCAAUCCAGCUCCAGGUGGAAGUGAAUCAGUGACCUGAUUGGCCUACAGGAGCAGACCGGAAUUAGCCAAUCACGUGGGGCCCAUUGUGUAAAUAAUGUAUAUAUAGCUAGAUUUUUUGGGGAAAGUUUGAUUCUUUUCUACUACAAGCUGAAUAAAGAGCAUGAAAUUCACACUCGACUCCGAGUAUAAUUCACCAACCAAAACAGAAUGGUAUAAAUUCAGCAAAAGACACAGGUCUGCCAAAAAGCAAAGCAUCCUCCUGGACUUCCACCCUCUGCUUUGUGGGUCCUAACUUAAUCAUUUCCUCCCACAUCUUUUUUGAUGAUCCAAAUCUUUUACUUCUCCAUUGUCACAUCCCUGACACAGCUGUGGGUUUCACUAGGUGGCCAGGACAGGUAAAACAAAAGUCAUUUGUGGGGGAACUCCCCCAUUAACCCCGUCAUUCUUGUAUUGCAAAUGUUUGGACCCGUGGGGAUCCCUUCCAACCUUGCUAUUCUACGAUUCCGUGAUUCUAAUCCAGGGGUCCCCAAACUAAGGCCCGCGGGCCAGAUGAGGCCCGAGGGACUCGUUUAUCCGGCCCGCGGUGACCCCUGCUGCCCGCUGCCACUGCCCGCUCUUACCGGGCUGCGCUGUGUGACUGCCCACUUCAGGGUCGGAGGAGCACCGGAAACAGCUUGUGCGCAUGCGCAAGCGUUAUUUGCUCAUGUGCAAGCAUUAUUUCCAGUGCACAUCCGGGUCGGAGGAGGCCCGUGCACAUGCGCACAAGCUAUUUCCGGUGUUCCUCCGACCCGGAAGUGCGCCGGAAAUAGCGUGUGUGCACGUGUAUGGGCACACACUCCCCCCGCCCUCCGGCCUGCCGCGCGAUCGGCGCUGGAGACACCAGUUUGCUGACCACUGUUCUAACCCGGCAAUGUCAGGGAAUCAGGCACAGACAUGGGGAAGCCCAAGGGAAUGCCCUUUCGGAGUUGCCCUCUCCUGUGCCACCCAUUUCCGAACCAGACCUGUGAGCAGCACUCUUGCCAGCACUGGCAGAGGCACGCUCAUCCCUUAAUGACUGCAACAUCGCAUGGCAGGGCUGGCAAGCGUCCAGUUUGCUCGCCAAAGACAGAGCGUUGCUGUCACCCUACAUCGCCCUCAGAGGCAGCACACUCAGUGGAGGCUGUUUACAUGGACAGCUGGAGUGAAGGUGCCAAGGAGGAUAUGAGCAGAAAUCUGGGGAACAAGCCAAGAAGCGGGUAAGGUCCUCCUCCGUCCUGGAAGAGAUGAUAUAGAUGGAAUGGUUUGCCAAGUGGUCGGCAGCAGGAACCUCUAUGCAUCUUCCUUCCUUCCUUCCUUCCUUCCUUCCUUCCUUCCUUCCUUCCUUCCCCUACCUCUUCCCUUUCCUCUCCUUGCAGCUGAUCCAGAAGCUGCAGUUCAUGCAGAAUGCUGCAGUCCAAUUGCUGAACAGGUGUGAGCCCUUGCCAGCAAAUAACACCUGGGCUCAGAAAUCCGCACUGCUUGCCGAUUCGCUGCCAGGACAAUUUCAGGGUGUUGUUAUGAAUGUGCAAAGCCUUUAGCAGUUUGAGACCAGUUUACCCAUGAAACUGACUUACCCACUCGAACCCUUCAAUGGGCAAAACUGGCCCAUCAGCCGCAUUUUGUUCCACAUUUGUGAAAACGUGACGUUUCAUUCCACUAGGCAGCACCUGCACUUUGGAACUCCCUGCCACUUGAACGCCAGACAGGAGCCUUCACUGCUUUCGGCACCUGCUGAAAACAUUUUACCCAGAUGUACAGAAAGCUGAUGCAAACUUUAAUCUGCUUUUAGUCUAUUGGAAGGAUUAAACCAUUGGAUUAGAUGGGCCUGAUCCAACAGGGCACUUAUAUGUUCUUAAGACUUUAACUCUUAACCCCAUUUCCUGUGGGGUUACCAAUGUCAAUAAAUCGCCAAAUCCAUGUUUGGAAACUAGCUGUAUUUAGGAAGUCACUGCAGACCACCCUUCCUUGACCUGGUGCCCUCCAAUUAUCUUGAACUAUAACUCCCAUUUAUCUGCCCCUGGGAGUAUGGCCACACUGGAACAGGGAUGAUGGGAAAUAUAGUGCAAAACAUGAGGGGGGAGGUCGACUUUCUGCUGUCCAUCAGGCAAUAGCUUUUCCCACCUGCCUUGCUCCACCCUCCAGCCUCAGGAGUCUUUCCCAGACCACAGCUUUGAAAACAGCAGAAGCUGUUCAGGGAUAUUUUAAAAAAAUAUUUUUAUAAGUUGUGUGCCCUUGUUUCCCAAUUUGAUCCUUUCACAUGGUUUUGGAUGUUUUGUGGUAUUUUGUGCACUGCGACAGGCUAUUGUUUUUAUUGAUCAUACUUUAGUAAUUAUUUAUAGCAAAGAAUAAGUGUACAGUGGUACCUCGGGUUACAGACGCUUCAGGUUACAGGCGCUUUGGGUUACAGACUCCGCUAACCCAGAUGUAGUACCUCUGGUUAAGAACUUUGCUUCAGGAUGAGAACAGAAAUUGCAUGCUGGCAGUGCGGCAGCAGGGGGAGGCCCCAUUAGCUAAAGUGGUACCUCAGGUUAAGAACAGUUUCAGGUUAAGAAUGGACCUUCAGAAUGAAUUAAGUUCUUAACCCGAGGUACCACUGUAAACUGCUUAAAUUUUAUUUGCUGAUGUUUGAUUUUACUGUUUACUAUUACAUUCUGAUGGAUUAAGUUGUUUAUUUUAAAGUUAAUGUGGCUUUUUGUAUUGGGUCAGAUUGUUAUGAGGAGUGUGACUUUUGCUGUCUAUUUUGUUGUUUCUUCAGCUUUGUAAGCUGCCUUGUGCAUAGUAAUAUAGAAGAGUUUGGAUUUGAUAUCCCGCUUUAUCACUACCCGAAGGAGUCUCAAAGCUGCUCACAAUCUCCUUUCCCUUCCUCCCCCACAACAAACACUCUGUGAGGUGAGUGGGGCUGAGAGACUUCAAAGAAGUGUGACUGGCCCAAGGUCACCCAGCAGCUGCAGGUAGAGGAGCGGAGACGCGAACCCGGUUCACCAGAUUACAAGUCUACCGCUCCUAACCACUACACCACACUGGCUCUCCAUAUAGGAAGGCGGCAUAUAAAUUCUAAUAAUAAUAAUUUAUUUAUUUAUACAUACAUGCAUGCAUACAUACUCUGCCCAUCUGGCUCGGUUUCCCCAGCCACUCUGGGCGGCUCCCAACAAGAGUAUUAAAAACACAAUAAAACAUCAAACAUUUAGAAACUUCCCUAAAAGUGAAAUGAAAGGAACGUCUUGUUUGGGAAAGGCAGCCGUUCAGAAUCUGCUAAACCUUUGGAAGUUUCAGAUACAGCAAAACUGGCUGCCGCUCAGAGCGAUUUACAUCUCUGCCCCUUCUAGGUGGGUGUGGCUUACAGCUAACCUCUAGAACAGUGAUGGCCAAACUCGGCCCUCCAGCUGUUUUGGGACUACAACCCCCAUCAUCCCUAGCUAACAGGACCAGGGGGCAGGGGUGAUGGGAACGGUAGUCCCAAAACAGCUGGAGGGCCAGUUUGGCCAUCACUGCUCUAGAACAAAAAGAGAAGGUGGUGGUCAGUUGGUCCUUCCCUUUGUCCUUUUGACAUGCUCUCGCUCUUUCUGUGCUCCCCUGGCUUGGAAAUAAAAAAGAAACUGCAGCAGCAGCAGCAGCAGGGACUCACAAUCAGAUUAUUUCCCAUUUAGGCAGGCUGCUAACACAUAUCAAUUAGGGUGUGAUUUAUCAGAGUGUCACUGACAGUGGAUAAUUGCAUUGAGCUGCAAGCCGAGAGAUCUAGCUUCUAGCCAGUGGCUGAAGGGACUAAAGUCAUGGGCUGCUGAGAAAAGGAGGAGAAGGGGAAGGGAGAGAGAGAGAGAGAGAGAGAGAGAGAGAGAGAGAGAGAGAGAUCCGUCCCAUUAAAGCAUGACUUUCCGCUGAGUUUUCGACUGGCGGUCUCCUAAAUUAAGGCCCCAAAGUAGGUGGGAAAUGACUCCCAAAACCAGAUCCAUCCUAACCCCUGGAUGGCUUCCAGGAUAUGCUCCAGUUGUUGGGGAUAGCCAGAGGUAGCAACCUCAAAUGUGGUUCCCAUCUCUGCCAGCCAGCAUGGCCAGCGGUCCAGGGCAAUGAGUGUUUCUGUUACCUUUGUUUAUAUCCUGACUUAUACUCCCAGACCCAAGGCAGCUUAAAGACAUUAAAACGAUGCAGGGAAAAUACAAAAAGCUAAAAACAGGGAAGUUCAUUACAAAGGUGAUUAAAUUCGAAUAGAAUUGAAACAAUAUUAACAACAAAUCUAUUAAAAGGCAGAUAAUAAAAGCGUUGCGGUGCUUCUAAGACCCUUUCCUUAAAACCCAGUCUGCUCUCCCUAAGGUUCUUGUUGGCAUACUUCUGUCCUGGAAUACAGUUGGAUGGGACCCUGAGGGUCAUCUAGUCCAACCCCCUGCAAUGCAGGAAUAUGCAGCUGUCCCAUAUGGGGAUCAAACCUGUAAACCUUCAUGUUAUCAGCACCCCGCUGUAAGCAACUGAGCUACCCAGGUCGAUAAGAGACAUCGACUUAAUGGGACAAUGGAGUGCACUUCCAGGGGUGAAGUCAGAAUAACACCUGGGAGGCAAAUGUGGACCUCUAGACCUGUCUAUGCGGCCCUUUGGAUUCUGGCCAUGCCCCCUCUCCCAGGCCCCCCCCUCCAUCCCUCCCCCCCCCCCCCGGAUUGCUCUGGCUUGGCAGAUUACAUCCUUGGACGGCAUUGCUGCCUCUUGCCUGCCUGUGUGGGGAGAGGAGUCUGUAGUGGGGAGACCUCUGACCUUUGCAUGCUUGUGAAUGCACUGUAUUGUACAAAAGGCAAAAUUAUUAUUAUUAUUAUUAUUAUUAUUAUUAUUAAUGUAUUUAUUUAUACCCCGCCCACAUCUGGCUGAGUUUCCCCAGCCACUCUGGGAGGCUCCUAACAGAAUAUUAAAAGCACGAUAAAGCAUCAAACAUUAAAAACUUCCCUAAAUAGGGCUGCCUCCAGAUGUCUUCUAAAAGUCAGAUAGUUGUUUCUUUCCUUGACAUCUGGUGGGAGGGUGUUCCACAGGGCGGGUGCCACCACCGAGAAGGCCCUCUGCCUGGUUUCCUGUAACCUCACUUCUUGCAGUGAGGGAACCACCAGAAGACCCUCAGAGCUGGACCUCAGUGUCUGGGCAGAAUGAUCGGGGUGGAGACGCUCCUUCAGGUAUAUUGGGCCAAGGCCGUUUAGGGCUUUCAAGGUCAGCACCAACACUUUGAAUUGUGCUUGGAAACAUCCUGGGAGCCAAUGUAGGCUCUGGUACUGCUGUACCCACUUUCGCCUCUGGCCCUGACUGGCACAUGCCCCCUAGAAGAUAGCCCAUGAGAUAAUACGGCCCCAGGCCGAAAACAUUUCCCUCCAGCUGUACGGCAGGGAUCCAAGGAUAUCUGGAAUUAACCAUGCUGGUUCCCCCAUUGUAGAGACUGGAGGCCUCUAGAGACUGGUCAUCCUUUUGUGUUGCUGGAUCAAUUUCUUUGCAGGAGACAGGUUGCGGUGGAUAUUUAUCAUUCUAAAAUCAUUUUUGUUGGGAUAUUUUAAUGAGCUGGAGAUUUAGAACCUUGCAGAGCUGGUGCAGAAGGGAAGAACGGGGAACAGGUUAAACGACAAACCAGGAGGUCCACAGUUCAAAUGUCUCCUCUGCCAUGGACUCCCUGAAUGGCCAUCAGAAAGCCCUUUUCGUUUCAAGCUUUGGCAACUCUGAAAUAUGGGGAGAUCAUCUUACUGACCUACCCCCCCCCCCCCCGUUGCUGUAAGGAUUACAAGGCACUAUACAUGAGAAGUCCCGAAAACACAAAUGAACCCUGGGGACCUUGAUUCUCUUGCGAUAAAACAGGGUUUUCUCCAUAUUCAUGAGGACUAGGAAGUUAUUUUUCUAAGAGACUGGAGGUCACAGCAAAAUCCUCGCGAAAUGUUGAAGAAUAAGGACAUCAGCAGUUGGGCAGGAGAGAUGUUAAGAGUGGCAUUUCCACUGGAAGUUUGGUCACUAGUCACCCCAGAACACAUGCAAGGUGCUCAUUCAGCCUUUCCCAAGCUGUUGCCCUCAGGAUCUUUUGGACUACAACUCCCAUCAGCCCCAGCCAGCAUGCUGAUGGGAGUUGUAGUCCAAAGCAUCUCUCUGGCCUGUGCUAACUGGGACUUCUCUGAGUUGCAGUCCAACUCACCCAGAGGGCACCAGGUUGGGGAAGGUCCUGUGCUAACUCCUAGGCCCUGCUGCUUAUUUUCAAGAGCAAAGAACAAGCAGCUCGCAGGCGUCUCUGCAAGAUUCAGUGGGGAACUCUAAUUUCUCCUGUCGCAGGAAGCUUCUGCCUCUUCCUGGCAGGGGAAAUGAAGAAAUUCUGCAAUGAGUGUUGCAGAGAAGCAGGGAAACAGGAAGUGAAAGAUCCUCACGCUCAGACACUCAGCGUCUGCAAAUUUUGCAUUUCAUUUGCUUCUGCCCUGACCAUACUGCUUGCACUUCCACCCCACCCUCACACAAUGUGCAUCUGAGGAUCACACUUCGCACCUCUAAGGAAGGCCGACUCCGGUCCUUGGCAGUGUGGGAUGUGAAACACAAAGCAGUCAAAUAGAACAUUCCUAGAGUGGACAUAAAAAGGGGAUGUCUGGACCAGCCAGUCAGAACUUCCUGUUUCCUCCUGGGCUGGGACAGACCUCCUCUACAUGUGACCAGAGGUGGGCAUGACCUCACCUGUACAGGUAACAAAAUAGCACAAGGGAGGCUGCCAUCUCUCUCUCUGACUCCAUUGUUCGAAGAAGCAACAUCUUCUUACCCUGAGAGGACAAAGGAACUAUCUCCUCAUGAGAUAGAUUCCAGGUGUAUAUACUUUGUAACUUAAGUCUGCCUUCUGGGAUCCAUCUGUGAACAGAAUGUGUGUGAGUAAACUCUUUUAUACUUUUAUACAAGACUGUGUCAUGUCUAAUCUUUUAUGAGGGAAUAAAGGGGAAUUGACCGGGAAAUUUAUUUUAGAGGCUUAUACAAGCCUGGCAAAGACGUUAUUCGCUGGUACGAGUUUAAAAGGGGAAUGUUACUCUGCUAAAUUGUAGAACUUGUUAACACAAGUUGGGAAGGAUAUAAUUAAACAAUAUAUCCUCUCCUGCCUCCCUGAACAUUCCCACAGGCAUCAUGAACAUGAGUGGAGCCUGCUGGAUCAGCCCAAUGGCCCAUCUAGGUCAGAAUCCUGCUCUCACAGGGGCCAACCAGAUGCCCCAAUGAUAAGCACCCACCUCCACCCCACAGGGUAGCUGGCAUGGGGCCCUCAAGACACUGAAGGACUUUGGGAACAGAUUUAUAACGAAUUGAAAAAGAUAUUUAAAUACACUUUCCCGAAAAAGCUUUCUUGCUAGGCUUGAUGGGACAGGAAAUAGAAAAGGCAGAUCAAAGGUUAUUUAUGUAUGCUACGACUGCUGCCAGAACUUUGUUAGCCCAAAAAUGGACAGCACCAGAAUUACCAACAAUAGAGGGCUGACAGACGAAGAUGGUUGAUUAUGCAGAACUAGCAAAACUGACCUGUAGAAUCCGAAAUCAGGAGGAAACAAAAUUCCAAAAAGAUUGGAGUAAAUUUAUGGAAUACAUAAAUAAUAACUGUAGAAAUUUGAAGACUCUGGCAGGACUGAAAUAAAUCUGAAAAUGUCGAUAGGAUUGGAUACAAUAAGAAACUGUGGAAAAGUAACUGACAUAAGAAAACCUGUUGAAGGGAGGGAGGGAAGCCAAUGCUCAGCAGUGUGGGUAAAUGACUGUUGAAUUUUACUGUAUUUUGUUUGUUUGUAUUAAAUGAAACACCAAUAAAAAGCAUUUUUUAUAAAAAAGACACUGAAUGACUCCAACUCCCAUCAGCCCCAGGCAGCAGGGUCAAGGAUGAUGGGACUUGCAGUCCUAUAAGAUCCGGAGGGCGCCAUGUUGGCUUCUUCAGUCACAGGCUAUCCAAGGGUGGUUCUGAAGAAAGGGGCAGCUGCAUGGCAUCAUUGCACCUCAAAAGACCGACAAGACUUCACUCAGCAGACAGUUAACCUAUGGAACUCCCUGCCACUGGAGGGUGAUGGCCACCAACAUGGAUGGUUCUAAAAGAGGAUCAGACAAAUUCAUAGAGAAGGAGAGGGCUGUCGAAGGCUACUAGCCAGGAUGGCUUUGGGCUGCCUCCACAGUUGGGGUCAGCAAAGCUUAUGGGUCACAGUUGCUGGAAACCACAGGAAGGGAGAGGGCACCUGCGCUCAGAUCCUGAUUGCAGGUUUCCCACAACGGGCAUCUGGUUGGCCACUGUAAGAACAGGAUGAUGGACUAGCUGGGUGGUUGACCUCAGCCAGCAGCAGCCCCUUCUUAUGUUUUUGUGGAAUGAAUGGUCAAUAAAGUCUGGACAUCAGCUAAUAGUCUGACAACAAAGUAAGCAAAUCAGGAUAAAUACUGAACAAAUCAGUCUGAAGUAGCCCUGGGUGUGUUUCAUGUGGCAGACAUCAGCAAACCGCCCAGGCUCCCUUAAAAAAAACCCAUGAAAGGUCAGAAAGAAACAAGGGUUUAAUGCCAUCGUUUCUCACUAUAGUUAUCACACAAGAACACGUUUAAGAAGCCUCAAAGCUUUUCUUUAAAUGUCAAGCGCAGAAGCGAUGAGAGAUUGGGAAGGGUGGGAGAGCGAGAAGACGAGCUGUAAACCCUUUUCCACAGCCACCGUCCUCCCCCCCCCCAAAAAAAAAUCAUGUCCCCACACCCCUUGACUUGGUCCACAACUCCACACACACAAACCCCAGACCAAAAGGAGUGUCUUUUCAGUAGCCGAGUCCCUUGGAGGUUUGGCGUCUCCAACAGCUUCUAGUAUUGUUUAGUACUGCAGUCAGAUUAUUUAUCGAUUUAUUUUUAUUAUGCACACCUAUUUCCACCCUCAGAUUGCAGGCCAGGUUAUGAUACCAAACGGCAUAGACAAGAAACACAGUCAUCAGCAAGCUAAACCGCGGAGACCUCUAAAAACCAGCUCGAUCGUGGCAUUUCUCUGUUGCUGGCAUCUAAAAAACAAUGGUGUGGUAAAUACCAUGAUGUGAUAACAGGGUGUGGACCAUGCAGGUCUCUCUACUGGACUCUCCCUAAACUAAACCACACCCCUUCUUCCCAGGCAGCCCCCCACCCCACCCCAUUGGACUGAAGUAUGCCUCUUGGAUUCCUGGAUGUGUAGAAACCUCUGGCCUUUACAUGCGCAUAGGAAACUGUGUUUUACAGAGUCAGACCGUCGGCUCACUGAGCUCAUAUUGCCUAGAGUUUCUCAUACUUGGGUCUCCAGCCAAUGGCAUAGCAUGGGGGGGAGGCUCCCCUGGGCACAAAAUUCUUAGGGGUACAAAAUUUCAAAAGACAAAAAAGUAGGAAUAAAAAAUAGCACAUCCUCCCCCUCACAGAGAAAAUCUCCUGACGAUCGCGUGGGCAGAUGGAGGAAUGAAUUUGAGUGACGGCCGCUUUUCUAGGGCACCCUCUGCACAGACUUUGGAAAGGUAAUCACUCUGAGCAAUCUCCCAUCCCACUCUCCUCCAUGCUCAAAGCUCAUGGGGCACCUCGGCUGCCACUCAGGUCAGUCGCUGAGCUAUCGCCCCUCCCUUCCACCCUAUCGGCAGGCAGCACUGAGGAUCCUUGCCUUGCUCCGGGUGCUGGCAACCCACGCUAAGCCACUGUCUCCAGCUGUUUUGGGGCUGCCACUCCCAACAUCCCUGGCUAGCAGGACCAGUGAUCAGGGAUGAUGGGAGCUGUAGUUCCAAAUCAGUUGGAGUUGGGGAAGCCCUGGUCUACCCUGAUUGGCAGUGAAAGUUCCAGGAGUUCAGGCAACAUUCUUUGCCAAGCCUACCUGGAGAUACCGUUGCGGAUUGAACCGGGACCUCUGAGCUAUGGCCCAUCUGUAUGGCUGAAAUGGCCGCUGAACAAAGGUGAGAGCCACAGCUGUCACUCUUCCUACUUUUGCACCCAGCCCCGCCCACAAGUAUGACGAAUGUUCCCCACUGGUGAUUGACGGUUGCUCAUUCAUAAUGAUACACAUGUCCGCUUAAGCCUUAAAAAGGCUUUGCCAACCCGGCGCCCUCCAGAUUCCAGAUAUUUCGGACUACGACUUCCAACAGGUUGGGCAAAGGCUGCCUUAGAAAGCCACAGCGCUGCUUCCUCUUAACCUCGCGCCACGCCAGCGCUGACCGAAAGCACGUUGCAUGUAUACAUUGCAGCAAAUGAACAUCUCUGCCAGAAUCACACAAUCUUGGUCCGGAACAGACGCCGGUCAGGAAAUCAGGGAACUGGGAGAGAUCCACAGCCAGCAGGGCUUCCGCCCAUCAGUUCACAUCACCCACAGGCUGCUGCUGCAGGCAGAGAGCAGAAGGGAUGGCAUUUGUGCCAAGAUGCUCCAGCAAUCAGACCAUUUUUCAGAAAACAGAACGGAGCCACAUGCUGCUCCAAAGAGCCUGAGGAGGCACACACGCAAUUCUCUCCCCCUCUCCAUGCUAACCUCACAACAGCCCUGUGAGGGAGGCUGGGCAGAGAGAUGGGGACGGGCUCAAAGUCACUUGGCGAGCUUCAUGCAUAGCUGUCAGUUUUUCCCUUUUCUUGUGAGGAAUCCUAUUUGGAAUAAGGGAAUUUCCCUUUAAAAAAGGAAAACAUUGACAGCUAUGGCUUCAGGAGAUGAGAACCCUGGUCUCGCUGGUGCUAGUCAGACACGCUAAUGACUGUAACAUGCUGGUGUCAGAGCACAGCAACGGAAAUGUGACAAAUAUACACCCCCCUCCAAAAAAUAAAUAAAUAAAACCACAACAACCCACAUUAGCAGUCUAAAAAAGUUACAGGGUUUCAACAGGAAAGUGCCCCAGUUGGGAAAAGUUGCAGUACACCCACCCUGAAACUUUGCAAGCUCAAACAGAAUUAAAGUGGGAUUGCGUAUAACCUCCUGAUACCAUCAAGAGCGCAAAUCAUGACAACCGGACAAUAAAAGAGGCAUCUAGGAGGAGGUCUCCCCUGGCAGACGUUUCAUCCCCAACCUGAAAGGCAGCGCAGAACAGGAAGGAAGGGAACACCCAAGUCCAAAAACUUUUACGCUCAAAAUCAUUUUCAGAGAAUGUCAGGGCCAACGGCGAACCGUUAUUUUCCUGUUUUAGGCAUAGGGGAUGGUUAGCUGUGACGCCCACCCGGACCCGGAGAGAUCUGGGGGCAACAGCGGGAAUAUGCCCUGACAGGGCAGAGUGAGGUUUAAAGUGAGUGGAUCUGCCGGGAUCCCUGACGGAUCAAGCACUAAGGAGCAGCCGUUCUCGCUCCCAGAAGACAAGGAGGAAAUGUUCCUCCGGCUGUCCUGAAAUGCUCAGCCUCGCCACCUACCAUGCUCCGUAAUGCUCGCUAGUGCUCAGUCAGUCACCUCGACUUCCCCAACAGGAAAACGCACACGCAACCGGAGCACAGUUGUUACGCUUGCACACGUGCACAAAGCCCUAAAGCAGAAAGGCAGGCAGGAAGCAAUUCCGGAGCCCUCUCGGGAACAGGGGACCCCCCCAGCAAGCUAAAGUCGGGCGUUCCUUCUCCCCGAAAAGGAUGUGAAUCGCAACUAUAAGAGACUAGGACAAGGAAAAGAGGGAGGCAGGGUUGCAAGCAGGGAGUUUGGGAGGCGCAGCCGAGCGCCCCUCAAAGCGCAUCGAGUAAAAACGGGUCCUUACACUCUCGAAGAAGGUGCCCAUGUCCGGAGCCCAUCACCUGCGAUCCGGCCAGCCUGCUGGGUCCCUGGAAAGUGGUGCUGAGGCUGCGGGGAGACAGGGCUCAGCUCGGCUGCCCUGGAAGAGGGAGUCUCGUCCUGCCCAUUUCCUCCAAGCUCCGGCUGCAACCGCUGCGGUCUGCAAGGCGGCUCUCCCUCGGCGCGAGAGCGCGCGGCUGCCUCUCUCUGUGCGAGGAUGAUGCAGGAGUGUGUGCGCCCGGGCGAGGGAGGCAGGAACGGGGCGCCGAGCCAAGCCGAGCCCCCCCCCCCCGCUCCCCAACUCAUCUGCCGAGCCUGGCGAGGGAGCCUCGCUCACCAGGACCAGCCUGGUUUUUUUGCGCGAGUUAGGAAGCACGAGCGCUUUCCGGCACAGAAAGCGAGAGCGCAGCUUCUCUCCACCCGCCUCUCUAAGUGAGAUUGAAGCUCUCUUUCAUAUUGCAGAAGGAGCUGCGGCUCAGCUGCUUUGAAUGCAGAAGGUCUCAAUAAUAUAUCCAGGCAGGGCGGGGAAACCCUGGGCAACCUGCUGCCAGCCAGAGCAGACAUUACUGAGCUAGAUGGACACCAUGGCUCUAUAUCAUAGAGUCAGAAUUUGAAGGGGUCCCCAUGAUCAUCUAGUCCAACCCCCUGCAAUGCAGGACUAUGCGAUUUUACCAUACGGGGAUCGAACCUGCAGCCUCGGCAUUUAUCAGCACCACGCAACCAAUUGAGCUACCCAGGUACAAGGCAGCUCCUGCUCAAGUCAACUCUAUUUUCUUUUUGUAGAACCACAGAGACGAGAAUCUGUUGUUGUUGUUGUUAUUGUUGUUGUUGUUGUUGUUGUUAAGGGGAAGGUACCAAGUUCAGUUUCACCGCUGGCCUCUCCAGACAGGACAGGGAAAGAGCCUUCUCUGAUACCCUGGAGAGCUGCUGCCUGUCUGUGUGGACAACACCAAGCAAGAUUGACCAGUGUUCUGAUUCAAUGUAAGACACUUACCUCUAUUCCUAUGAAAUCAGUGGCUUGCAUUAUGUGCAACCAGCCCCUUCUGACAGAGGCACAUGGUGGCAGGGGUUUUGUAGGGCGAGAUGUCAGCCAGGGACUGCUCUGUGGCCUGACUCUGGAAGCAAAGUUAGCAGCCCACAGAAAAUUCUCCUCAUCUCUACAUAGCCCCUGUUCCUGGGUGGUCUAGGGCCAGUCACUGAAUCUCUCGGGCUGUUGUGGGGAUUAAAUGGGGAGGGGGGAGAAGAGGAGAACCACCUACGCUACCUUGAGCUCCCUAGAGGAAAAGGUGGGCUAGAAAUGCAAUACAGUGGUACCUCGGGUUACAUACGCUUCAGGUUACAGACACUUCAGGUUACAGACUCUGCUAACCCAGAAAUAGUACCUCGGGUUAAGAACUUUGCUUCAGGAUGAGAACAGAAAUCGUGUUCCGGUGGCGCUGCGGCAGCAGGAGGCCCCAUUAGCUAAAGUGGUGCUUCAGGUUAAGAACAGUUUCAGGUUAAGAACGGACCUCUGGAACGAAUUAAGUACUUAACCCAAGGUACCACUGUACUAAUAAUUCUGCGGCAUAGAAGGGGAGGGGGCUGACUGCCUGAAAUCAGUUCACCGUCAACUCCCUGCAUCAUAGAGUUGGGAGGGACCCAGGGGUCAUCUAGCCCAACCCUCUGAAAUUAAGGAAUGCAUACUUCUCCAGGUACUUGUCUGAAAUGCUUCUUCGCAGAAUAAGCCUGUAGAACUCACUGCCAUGGGAGCACACAUGAGCGGAGAUCAUUUUGCGGCAACAAAAAUCUAGUUCACUGAAAGGUGUCCCUGUCCAUACCUUGUGCUCAGACCAGGCAUAGGCAAACUCAGCCCUCCAGAUGUUUUGGGACUACAACUCCCAUCAUCCCUAGCUAACAGGACCAGUGGUCAGGGGUGAUGGGAACUGUAGUCUCAAAACACCUGGAGGGCUGAGUUUGGGGAUGCCUAGUUUAGACACACACCCUUAUGAAAUCAGGCAUGCUCUUUCAAGAGAAAGUUGGGGGGAGAAGUGACUCUUAUCGUCUCCCCCAAUGCUACAAUUCAGGGUCACUCCAGGCCUCUUUAAGGGUGCUUUUAUUAUCUUCUUGUCCUGAUGCUAUGAGCACCAACUAGUUCCUCAACUCUGCCCCUGUCAGUGGAAACCGCCCUCCCUGCAAAGUCACUCACAAGGUUGGCCAGGGGCUUGGCUUGCCGUCCCCUGCAAUGUCAGGGGCAGAUCUAUGUGAAAUGGCACAUGUGUAAAAUAUCUAGGUUCAAAUCCCCACUCGGCCAAGGUGGCCAAUGAAUUUGGGCCAGUGACAGCCUCUCAGCCUUGUGAGAUAUUCUCAAUUCACGUUUUGCUAUUUCCUCCUUUCUUCCAUGCCCUUGUUAAAUCUCAGCUGGUCUGUAAGCUCCUUAUGCAGCCACACCGGUUUUCUUAGAUGCCUCCCACUUCUCUUUCUUGUUGGUAUCGCCUGCAUUCGGGCCUUCAAUAUUUCACCCAUACUCCCAUCCAUCCUGAAUGAGUCUAUGAUGCCAUGUUACAUAUGCACAUGACAGGAGCUGAAGCUCGCAGAAUUUUCCUGCAAGUUUGCUAGAGAGAACUCUGAGAGAUACUCCUUUUGUGCCCUGACAGCAGGAGGACUUAGCUGUAGCUUCUCUUACCUGCCUGGGCAAAACCUCUUCCCAUCUUUCUGCUCUGCCGGCAAUUUAGUCUAGGUCCAUGUCUCCUCUGCCAUUUUAGAAGUCUGUUUGGACUUGAUAUCCCGCUUUAUCACUACCCUAAGGAGUCUCAAAGCGGCUCACAUUCUCAUUUCCCUUCCUCCCCCACAACAAACACUCUGUGAGGUGAGUGGGGCUGAGAGACUUCAGAGAAGUGUGACUGGCCCAAGGUCACCCAGCAGCUGCAGGUGGAGGAGCGGAGACGCGAACCCGGUUCACCAGAUUACGAGUCUACCGCUCCUAACCACUACACCAUGCUGUAGUCAUCUAGUCAAGAGUCACCUAGUCCAGCCCCCUGCAAUGCAGGAACCGCGGCUCAGGAAUCCCUGACAGAUGCCCAUCCCACCUCUGUUUGAAAGCCUCCAAGGAAAGAGAGUCCACCACCUUCUGAGGGAGCCUAUUCCACUGUCGACACCAUCCCGUGACAUCAGGAAAUCCAAAAAUGGUGAUCUCAACAUUGCCAUGUAUCUUCUACCUUACCACCCUGUCCUUUUUCAGAGACCUGUCCAAUGUCCAUAACCUAAGGUUACCAGAUUUUUUUCAAUGAAUCUGGGGACACAAUAAAUAAAUAAAUACAUACCGUAUUUUUCGCCCUAUAGGACGCACUUUUUCCCCUCCAAAAAUGAAGGGGAAAUGUAUGUGCGUCCUAUGGGGCGAAUGCAGGCUUCGCGCACCUCUCCGCAAGCAGCGCUCCGCUCCCGCUGCUUGCGGAGAGUUGCCUGCAUGCUGAAGCCUGCGCUCGCUGAGCUCAGCACGUCCAGGCUUCGCGGACCUCUCCGCAAGCAGCGGGAGCCAGCGCUGUUUGGGGGCUGGGGUCGGGGGAAGCUCGGGCUUCCCCCGCCCCAGCCCCGCGCCUGGGGGGGGGAAAUAAUUUUUUCCCCUUUAUUUCCCCCCCAAAAAACUAGGUGCGCCUUAUGGGAUGGUGCAUCCUAUAGGGCGAAAAAUACGGUACAUACAUACAUACAUACACGUUCGGGAUGUUGAUGCUGCAGCAAUGGCGGUGGUGGAGGGACGGCCAACGCCUUGACCUCAACCACCAUGUUUCCCCUUCCUCUGAGGCUUCUAUCUCCUUUCUCCAUAAGCCUGGGUGGCAACAAGGCUUGGGUAGCACAAUGCCUCCUUUCCCAUCAGAGCAGUCCCAAUCCCAUUCCUACUUGUGUGUAAGCAGGAGGGGGCGGGGAUUUCUCAGCUGGGAAGGGAGGCUUCCCGUUGCUUAACUGAGAGGUCCCUGCCCCCUCCGGCUUGCACUCAAGCUCUGAUAGGCAGCGUGAAGGCCCCCUUCACAGCUGAGAGAUCCCCGCCCCGCUUGCUUGCACGCAAGUAGGAGUUGGGAGGCUGUUCUGAUAGGCAUCAUGAAGCCUCCCUUCACAGCUUAGUUGCUGGGUCAGGAAGGUGGAGGCAGCCCGGAAGCUGCAUCUUGGAGCCCCUGCGACACCAUCAUAUGGGGACUUCCAAGCAGCUCCUGAAGCCAGCCAGAGCCAACUGCUCCGGGCUGCUGAGACUGCCGCCGCUGCGUUUCCCGGGGACGUUAGAUGAAAUCCGGGGACAUUCCAGGGAUGGUAUUUGUCCGGGGACUUAUUCGCAAAUCCGGGGACUGACCCCGGGAAACGGGGACAUCUACAAUAACCCUACACUAACCCAGCCUGUGUUGCUCCAGGUGCAACAGUGUGUCAAUAUCACAGUUGUGAGAUUUUCAGAAGGCUCUUCCCAGGCCCCUCUGCUAACAAAGCGCUUCUCAAAGUGGGUGCAAAGCCAUUUAUUUAAGAGUGGAUAGCCCAGCUCUGCUCAUCUGACCUGCCUCUCUCUCUCUCUCUCUCUCUCUCUCUCUCUCGGCAUUGCUUUUUCUGCCUGCUAAACUAGAAGCAACAGGAGCGGCGCCACACUGCCUCCCAGCGUGCAUACGACCCCCUGGAUGGUGAGCAAAACAGCACCAGAACCAAGCAUGGGAAUCUUUGCCUCCUGGCUGCAUGGCUGAGAUCAAGUUGGAAAAGCUUCAGGGAAGAGCAAACAAGAUGAGCCAGGAGAGGGAGCGAUUCCCCUGCGAAGAAAGGUUGCAGCAUUUGGGAGUUUUUAAUUUAGUGGAAAGCAAGGAAGCGACCUGAUAGAAGUUUAUAUGUUGGAAAUGUAAAGAGAAAGAAGGUUCUUUUUAUCGUAUGUGGCGGUCUUGUAGUAAGAUUAAAGCUUACUGGGAAAUGAUAUAGAAUGAAUUGAAAAGGAUGUUUAAAAUAACAUUUGUGUAAAACAAAGAAGAAGAAGAAGAAGAAGAAGAAGAAGAAGAAGAAGAAGAAGAAGAGGAGGAGAAGAAGAAGAAGAAGAAGAAGAAGAAGAAGAAGAAGAAGAAGAAGAAGAAGAAGAAGCAGCAGCAGCAGCAGCAGCAGCAGCAGCAGCAGCUUUUCCUUGGGGAAUUAUAGGGACAGAACUACCUAAACUGUAUAGAAACUUAUUCAUGUAUAGGUGGCAAGAACGUUACUCACCCAAAAAUGGAAAGAAGCAGAAGUCCCAGCAAAGGAAGAAUGGAUACAAAAAGUUAUGGAAUAUGCAGAAAUAAUGAAACUUACCGGAAGAGCAUUGGCAGGAUUAUUGCAAUAACCUGCAAUUUUAUAAGAGUAUAUAUAUUUAAAGUAGAUGAAUAAAUGAGCAAAUUAAAUUAAUUUGGAUAUACAGAAGAUAUUAAAAAUAAAUUUAAGGAAAUUGAGAAAGAGGGGGGAGGAAGUCAAGUUUUGAAAUGUUAAAAUGAUUGUAAUUAGUGAAAUCUAUAAACCCGAAAAAUAUAAAUAAAUUUUAUAUAUUAAAAAAAAGUUUAUAAGAUUGUGCAUGGCAGAGAAAAGGGGGAGAGCGAAAGGUUUUCCUUUGUCUUCAUAGCACUAGAACUCAUGGACUUCCAAUUAAGCUGAACAUUGAAAGAUUCGGGAAACAGAAAAGGAAGUGCUCCACACAGCACAUAUAUAAACUGUGGAACUCCCUGCCACAAGAGGCAAUGAUGGCCACCAACAUGGAUGGAUUUAAAAGAGGAUUGGACAAUUUCAUGGAGGAGGAGACAGCUAUCGGGUGCGCUGCUUCUGAAUACCAGUUGCUGGAAACCACAGGAGGGGAGAGUUGCUCUUGUGCUCAAAACCUGCUUGCCAGUUUCCCAUAUAGGUAUCUGACUGGCCACUGGGAGAACAGGAUGCUGGGCUAGGUGAACCUAGCUGAGUUUCCUGCAUUGCAGGGGGUUGGACUAGAUGAACCUUGGUGUCCCUUAAAGGUAAAGGGACCCCUGACGGUUAGGUUCAGUCGCAGAUGACUCUGGGGUUGCGGCCCUCAUCUCGCUUUACUGGCCGAGGGAGCCGGCGUACAGCUUCCGGGUCAUGUGGCCAGCAUGACUAAGCCGCUUAGGAAACGCUGUUUACCUUCCCGCCAGAGCGGUACCUAUUUAUCCACAUGCACUUUGACGUGCUUUCGAACUGCUAGGUUGGCAGGAUCAGGGACUGAGCAAUGGGAGCUCACCCCGUCGUGGAGAUUCAAACUGCCGACCUUCUGAUCGGCAAGCCCUAGGCUCAGUGGUUUAACCCACAGCGCCACCCGCGUCCCCCUGGUGUCCCUUACAACUCCACAGUUCUAUGAUUCUAUGAACCAUCACCUGAUCUAGCAAUGCUGCCCAUUGGCCUAAUGUGGUACCUCAGGUUAAGAACUUAAUUCGUUCUGGAGGUCCGUUCUUAACCUGAAACUGUUCUUAACCUGAAGCACUACUUUAGCUAAUGGGGCCUCCCACUGCUGCUGCAUGAUUUCUGUUCUCAUCCUGAAGCAAAGUUCUUAACCCAAAGUACUAUUUCUGAGUUAGCAGAGUCUGGAAGCUAAAGCGUCUGUAACCCGAGGUACUACUGUAAUACGUUUGCUUGGGAAAAUCCACCUGUGAGAAUAUAUUGCAUGAAAACAGUGGGUUUCCCCAGCAGUCCUCCAGAGUCUGUUCAGCCUGGCUUUCCGCAGAUAAAGCUUGCCAGUCGUGCCCCCUCGGCCAGCUCCAAGAGCAAUAAAAUAGCCACACAUCCCAUUAAGCAGAACAAACAAGAACACCUCCACUCUCUGCUGCCACCGCCUGCCUGCCAUCCCCGCUGUCUUCCUGAGGUUCCAGUUACUCUCCACAGCAGAAGGAGAGCAGCGUGUGCUUGUUGCCAGAAUAGAACGGAAUUCCUGACAACCAGGCAGAGCCCGCCUUCCAGGGCUGCUGUGCGUCUUGGAUCCCGACAAGCCACACGGGCGGGUGACCUUCUCAGCUGACUGGCGCUGCCUCCUCUCAUGCGCAUAGCACUCCUUUUGUGGAACAGAACAUUUGCCUGCCAUAAAACCGGAGAGGCGCAGCCAACAGGAGGAUGUCGCCGGUGCAAUUUGCCAUUUUUUUAAUUGGCAACGCGCUUUAGGAGUCUUUAGCAACCCUUCGAGGGCAAAGUCAAUUACUCUCAUCUAGCAGAUAGCGGACUUUAUUGCUCUCUGUUACUGUGUGCUGCCAACGGGGAUGGCUUGCUGGAAAGGAUAAGGACAUAAAAAGAGGUUGCUGGAUCAGGCCAGUGCCAGCAUCCUGUUCUCAUGGGCAGCAACCAGAUGCCCAGGCUGAGGAACCCCCUCCUGCAGAACUUUCCUGGCACCUUCAUCAUGCAACUUCUGGGGAACGCAGAAGGCUUUUAAACUGUUCUUAAUGUUGUGCUAUAAUGUUGCAGCCUGCUCUGGUGCCUUAGGAGGAAGAAUGAGCAAUGCCUACAUGCAGAAUGAUCUGGAACAAAGAACCAUAGAAUUCUACAAUUGGAAGGGACCCCAAAAGUCAUCUAGUCCUUGCAAGGGCAGGAUCACAGCUAAAGUAUCCUGUAUACCUGAAGGAACAUCUCCACCCCCAUCGUUCAGCCCGGACACUGAGGUCCAGCACCGAGGGCCUUCUGGCGGUUCCCUCCCUGCGAGAAGUGAAGCUACAGGGAACCAGGCAGAGGGCCUUCUCGGUGGUGGCGCCUGCCCUAUGGAAUGCCCUCCCAUCAGAUGACAAGGAGAUAACCAAUUACAUGAAGGCAGCCCUGUAUCAGGGAGUUUUGAAUGCCUGAUGUUUAGUUGUGUUUUUAUAUUAUGUUGGAAGUCAUCCAGAGUGGCUGGGAAAACCCAGUAAGAUGGGUGGGGUACAGAUUGAUUGAUUGACUGAUUAUCUAUCUAUCAUCUAUCUCUCUAUCUAUCUAUCCUGCAUUGCAGGGGGUUGGACUAGAUGACCCUCAGGAUCCCUUUCAACUCCAGGAUUCUAUUGCUGUUGUUGUUAGUAGGAGUAGUAGUAGGAGUAGUAUGCUUGAGAGGUGGGUACCCAACCUCUGUUUAAAAGCCUCCAAUGAAUGUUUAAAAACCAUUGCUGAAUGUCACCUGCUUCCAGACAAGGUAUCCCGUGAUGCUAUCAAGGCCAGUCUAUUCCACUGGUAAAUAAUCCUUCAGAAGCAUCUGAACAUCAUUAUCUCCUCUUUGGAGAUGAGCCAGCGGAGGAUGACAAGUCCCACGAUUUGAGGUUGAUGCAAACAUCCUCAAAACCUCAAGCCAAAUGGUUGCCAUCUGGACAAAUUGAUGAGGUGCAGAGCUGGGGUAUCUCUCUCCACGCGAAGGGGACACAAAGUCCAGACCAGGUUCUGCGGCACGGAAAGGUUAUGAGCACAGAAUGUUUUCAAAAAAUAUUGACAAGCUGGAAGGUGUGCUGAGGAAGGAGACCGAAAAUGAUUUGGAAACCCAGCCUUAUAAGGAAUGGUGGAGGGAACUGCGCAUAUUUAGUCUUUGAAAGAGGAGGCUGAGAGGAGAGGUGAUAGCCAUCUAAAGAGCUGUCGUGUGGAAGAUGGAGCAAGCCUGUUUUCGGCUACUCCAGAAGGGAGGAUUUGAACCAAUUAAUUCAAAUGACAAGAAAGGAGAUUCUGACUCAACAUUGGGAAGAACUUUCUGAGGGUGAGAGCUGUUUGACAGUGCAGCAGACUCUCUCAGAAGGUGGAUUCUCCUUCGUCCGAAGUUUCUGAGCAGAGGUUGGAUGGCCACCUGCCAGGGAUUCUUUAGCUGUGUUGUAGGGGGCUGGACUAGAUGACCCAUGGGGUCCCCCUGCAACUCUACAAUUCUAUGGGGGAAAGAUGUUUUCAAAAGUGCUAGGAAAAUGUGCAGCACAGAAGGGAGAAAUCACAGGGACUGAGUUGGCUGGUGGUCAUAAGGUGUAGUUCAGAAGGUGCUCAGCAAAAAGAGAUCUAAAGUAGACAAACGUGUUCUAGGUCUUUGUUCACCUGAUAUCAUUGAUGGGGACUUAGAAUCAUAGAAUCAUAGAGUUGGAAGAGACCACAAGGGCCAUCGAGUCCAACCCCCUGCCAAGCAGGAAACACCAUCAGAGCACUCCUGACAUAUGGUUGUCAAGCCUCUGCUUAAAGACCUCCAAAGAGGACUUCAUGUAACAUUGAAUUAAUCUAUGGAAAAACUUCUGGGAAAUGAUAUGUAAUGAGAGGAAAAAGAUGUUGAAAUAUACAUUAAUUAAGAAACCAGAAGCAUUUUUACUUGGCAUUGUAGGAGAUAUUAAUAGACAGGAUUGUAAGUUGUUUUUAUAUGCAAUGACAGCAGCAAGAAUAUUAUUGGCACAAAAAUGGAAGCAAGAAGAACUACCGACAAAAGAAGAAUGGAGGUUGAAGUUGAUGGGCUAUGCAGAAUUAGAUAAAUUAACAGGAAGGAUUCGAAACCUGCAGCAUCAGAGAUUCUUAGAAGACUGGAGUAAAUAUAUUAAUUAUUUGAAAAGUAAUUGUGAUGGACAGAUUAUGCUAGUAGGACUGCAAGAAGUUUUGUAAGGUGG